rnacentral:lncRNA from 1 species
GGGAUGGAGGUCGACAUAUAUAGGAGUCUCCCUAACAACAAGUAGUAAUGCUAUUCCUUUACCCUGCUUGGUCAUAGCACGGUAGUGGGAGCUGCCAGUUUCACAUGUUUUAACUCUGUCAGAGCACUUUGAAAAAGUGGUCUGUGGUAUCUGGCUCUCGAGAUUCGGAGAACGAUGCCUCUUCGAUUUUUGAGAAAAGCAAUCAUGUUGGGGGUCUGACUCUCGAGAUUCGGAGAGCAGUGUCUCUUCGAUUUUUGAGGAAGUAAUCAUGUUGGGAGUCUGGCUCUCGAGAUUCGGAGGGCGGUGCCUCUUCGAUUUUGGAGCAAGCAAUCUUGUUGGGAGUGUUGUCUCGAAUGUGAGUAAAGGUUGGACAUGUUUGCUAGUCUACCUUGCCACGAAGCACAAAGGUUGACACAUAGGGACUUUCCAAUUAUCCAGCAAUGGUACUGUUCCUUUACCCUCUCUUCGAUUUUGAGAAAGUAGUCAUGUUGGGAGUCUGGCUCUCGAGAUUCGGAGGACGGUGCCUCUUCGAUUUUGGAGCAAGCAAUCUUGUUGGGACUGUUUUCUCGAAUGUGAGUAAAGGUUGGGCAUGUUUGCUAGUCUACCUUGCCACGAAGCACAGAGGUUGACACACAGGGACUUUCCAAUUAUCCAGCAGUGGUACUGUUCCUUUACCCUUGUGGGUAAUAAUAUGGUAGCUAGACCUUCAAAAUUUAUGUGUCUAAACUUUGUUAGUGCUGUUUCUUUGCUAUUCUUUUACCUUUCUUGGUCAGAGCGAUGUAGUGGGAGCUGCAAGCUUCACGUGCUCAACUUUGGCAGAGAACUUUGGCAAAGUGAUCUGUGGUACCCAUGAGUUAUUGUUGCGUGUGGGAAGUGGGUGAUUGAACAGUAAGAUUCAUGUGCUUUCUACUUCACCAGAAGUCUUCGACAGAAUGCCCAUAAUUUCUGCAAAGCUGAGUGUGCGUGUGACAGGUGCUGACAAGGCUAGAAAAGUAGGUGCCUCUUUGAUUUCUGAGAUCGGCCCUCGUGGUCUCUGAGCAGCCCAGCUUUUGAGAAAGCGAGCGCCUCUUCGAUUGAUUCGGAGAACGGUGCCUCACCGAUUUUUGAGAAAGCAAUCAUGUUGGGGGUCUGGCUCUCGAGAUUCGGGGAGCAGUGUCUCUUCGAUUUUUGAGAAAGUAAUCAUGUUGGGAGAGUGGCUCUCGAGAUUCGGAGGGCGGUGCCUCUUCGAUUUUGGAGCAAGCAAUCUUGUUGGGAGUGUUUUCUCGAAUGUGAGUAAAGGUUGGGCAUGUUUGCUAGUCUACCUUGCCACGAAGCACAGAGGUUGACACACACACAGGGACUUUCCAAUUAUCCAGCAAUGGUACUGUUCCUUUACCCUCUCUUCGAUUUUUAAGAAAGUAGUCAUGUUGGGAGUCUGGCUCUUUAGAUUCGGAGGACGGUGCCUCUUCGAUUUUGGAGCAAGCAAUCUUAUUGGGAGUGUUUUCUCGAAUGUGAGUAAAGGUUGGGCAUGUUUGCUAGUCUACCUUGCCACGAAGCACAGAGGUUGACAUACAUGGACUUUCCAAUUAUCCAGCAGUGGUACUGUUCCUUUACCCUUGUGGGUAAUAAUAUGGUAGCUAGACCUUCAAAAUUUAUGGGUCUAAACUUUGUUAGUGCUGUUUCUUUGCUAUUCUUUUUACCCUUCUUGGUCAGAGCGAUGUAGUGGGAGCUGCAAGCUUCACGUGCUCAACUUUGGCAGAGAACUUUGGCAAAGUUAUCUGUGGUACCCAUGAGCUAUUGUUGCGUGUGGGAAGUGGGUGAUUGAACAGUAAGAUUCAUGUGUUUUCUACUUCCCCAGAAGUCUUUGACAGAAUGCCCAUAAUUUCCGCGAAGCUGAGUGUGCGUGUGACAGGUGCUGACAAGGCUGGAAAAGUAGGUGCCUCUUCGAUUUCUGAGAUCGGCCCUCGUGGUCUCUAGGGAGCCCAGCUUUUGAGAAAGCGAGCGCCUCUUCGAUUUCUGAGAUCGGCCUUCGUGGUCUUUGAGCAGCCCAACUUUUGAGAAAGCAAACGGCUCUUCGAUUUCUGAGAUCAACCCUUGUGAUCUCUAAGCAGCCCAACUUUUGAGAAAGCAAACGCCUCUUCGAUUUCUGAGCAGGCGCCUCUUUGAUUUCUGAAGCUCCGUCGAGUGCAGAUUUUUAUAGGGGCUGGCAUUAAGUUCCAAAGCACACUUGAAUCUCCACCAGUAGAAGCUUCAUUCUUGCACUUCUAAGAUCUUGAUUUGUCCGACCUCUUCUCUCUUCAACACCUUUGAAAAUGUCUGGCCCCUCCGACCGUCGUUUUGACUUGAACCUUGUUGAAGAGGCAGCCCCGCCUUCUCCAGACAACAUAUGGCGCCCAUCCUUCGUCUCCCCAACUGGUCCUCUUACCGUUGGGGAUUCCGUGAUGAAGAAUGAUAUGACCGCUGCGGUGGUGGCCAGGAACCUUCUCACUCCCAAAGAUAACAGACUACUUUCCAAACGGUCUGAUGAGUUAGCUGUUAAGGAUUCGCUGGCUCUCAGUGUUCAGUGUGCAGGUUCUGUGUCUAAUAUGGCACAACGCCUAUUUGCUCGAACCCGCCAAGUUGAAUCAUUGGCGGCUGAAGUGAUGAGUCUCAAACAGGAGAUUAGAGGGCUCAAGCAUGAGAAUAAACAGUUGCACCGGCUCGCACAUGACUAUGCUACAAACAUGAAGAGGAAGCUUGACCAGAUGAAGGAAACUGAUGGUCAGGUUUUACUUGAUCAUCAGAGAUUUGUGGGUUUGUUCCAAAGGCAUUUAUUGCCUUCGUCUUCUGGGGCUGUACCGCGUAAUGAAGCUCCAAAUGAUCAACCUCUGAUGCCUCCUCCUUCUAGGGUUCUGUCCAGUACUGAGGCUCCAAAUGAUCCCCCUCCGGUGCCUUCUCUUUCUGGGGCUCUACCGACUGCUGAGACUUCUCCUAAGCAACCUUUGUGAAGGCUCCCUCUUGUGUGUUUAUUUUGACUCAUGUAUAUGUACAUAUUUGUAGCUUAUCGGGGAUAUCAAUAAAUAAGCUUUCCUUUUCACUCUUAACUGACAGAGAAGAUCAAAUUCAUUUCAUAUACAUAUAUGAUAACUCCAGGUUUUACUGACAAAAUCUGGAUGCUUUUCACAAUGGUCUCACUGACAGAUGUUUUUACAUUCAGCUAAUGAUGAUACACUAUACAUCAAUAAUUUUUAGGGGAAUGCACGCACUAGGGGACUCCAUAAAAUAAAUUUAUUGAGACCAAGGAAUGAAACUUCCGUUCAACUAUAGUAGAGAGGAAAUCAGUCACAGCAGGCACUAAAUAGAGGAGUACGCGGGGGUCAAGAAGCUAAACCUGCCAGAUGAAUACAACAACAACAACAACAAAGCCUUUUCCCACUAAGUGGGGUCGGCUAUAUGAAUCCUAGAACGCCAUUGCGCUCGGUUUUGUGUCAUGUCCUCCGUUAGAUCCAAGUACUCUAAGUCUUUUCUUAGAGUCUCUUCCAAAGUUUUCCUAGGUCUUCCCCUACCCCUUUGGCCCUGAACCUCUGUCCCGUAGUCACAUCUUCGAACCGGAGCGUCAGUCGGCCUUCUUUGCACAUGUCCAAAUCAUCGGAGCCGAUUUUCUCUCAUCUUUCCUACAAUUUCGGCUACUCCUACUUUACCUCGGAUAUCCUCAUUCCCAAUCUUAUCCUUUCUCGUGUGCCCACACAUCCCACGAAGCAUCCUCAUCUCCGCUACACCCAUUUUGUGUACGUGUUGAUGCUUCACCGCCCAACAUUCUGUGCCAUACAACAUCGUUGGCCUUAUUGCCGUCCUAUAAAAUUUUCCCUUGAGCUUCAGUGGCCUACGACGGUCACACAACACGCCGGAUGCACUCUUACACUUCAUCCAUCCAGCUCGUAUUCUAUGGUUGAGAUCUCCAUCUAAUUCUACGUUCUCUUGCAAGAUAGAUCCUAGGUAGCGAAAACGGUCGCUUUUUGUGAUCUUCGCUAGAUUGCUCCGGUCAUUAGUGUGGAUAAGUAUAUAAAUGGAUAGAGAUAGGAAAGCAAACACAAGAUGUACGUGGUUCACCCAGAUUGGCUACGUCCACGGAAUAGAAGAGUUCUCAUUAAUUGUGAAGGGUUUACACAAGUACAUAGGUUCAAGCUCUCCUUUAGUGAGUACAAGUGAAUGAUGAUUUAGUACAAAUGACAUUAGGAAAUAUUGUGGGAGAAUGAUCUCGUAAUCACGAAACUUCUAAGUAUCGGAGUGUGGUGUCGUCUUGACUUGCCUUAUCUGUCUCAUAGGUAGAUGUGGCAUCUUCUCUGGAAGUACUCUUCCUCCAUCCAGGGGUGGUAUCUUUAACUGGUGGAGAUGCACAAGGUAAUGUAUCAAUUUCACUUGAAGCUUACUUGUAGUCUCAGGCUUGGUCAAUCGCGAUACAAACCAUGUAGUAGGAGUCCCCCAAGUCGCCGAGCUAGGGGGUCUGCUGAAAGAGGUGACAGACAAGGUAAGCAAUCAGAGCUCCGACUGAUUGUUCACCUUCUCCCCAUCUUGCAGCAGCAUGAAGGAUAAAGAGAAGAAAAAUGAGAAGAGAUGAUAUGAGAUACUUUUGCUUUUGAAGAAGUAACUUUCCACAGGCUUAUUCUUGAACUGAGCUGGAUGGUUUUCUGGUUUCCUCCAGAGUAUAAGGCCGACUGAAGAAUUUGAGGGUCAAAACAAGUCCAUCAAAUCUAGAGUACGUUCCACCCUGCUGAUAUGGGAUACUUUUGCUUUUGACAGAGUAAUGGGUGUAUCGGCACGUGUGCUGUUACGCUUGUCUCCACAUGCUUCCUUGUAUCCUUCGCACUUGCCCUAUCUGUUCCUCAAGCAGAUGCGGAAUCUUCCCUGGAAACAUAAGAUGUUGAAGAUGAGUACUCGAGAGCAAUGCCAGGUAAGUAAUCAGGUAAGGGGUUCCAGGCAGUCAGUUCCUGGCUGGAAGCUUGAUCCAAGUGCUGACUGAUUGCUCUCUUUCUCCUUGUCUUGCAGGUAAAAACAAGGCCAAAGGAAAAGACAGGGAAAAAGCAUGAUAUAUGGGAUACUCUUGCUUUUAACCCUGAUGAUAUGAGAUAUUCUUGCUCUAGUAUAGCUUGUUUGCAGAGGUAUUAUCGGGGGGAAAGAAAGCUGAAUAUUUCGAAAGGCUUCGUUGGGAGUGCCCUCUCAGAUAUGAUGAAGGGUUGAGCAUUUUUGCAGGUCUGCCUGUCCGUUGGGGAUGGAGGUCGACAUAUAUAGGAGUCUCCCUAACAACAGGUAGUAAUGCUAUUCAUUUACCCUGCUUGGUCAUAGCACGGUAGUGGGAGCUGCCAGUUUCACAUGUUUUAACUCUGUCAGAGCACUUUGAAAAAGUGGUCUGUGGUAUCUGGCUCUCGAGAUUCGGAGAACGAUGCCUCUUCGAUUUUUGAGAAAGCAAUCAUGCUGGGGGUCUGGCUCUCGAGAUUCGUAGAGCAGUGUCUCUUCGAUUUUUUGAGGAAGUAAUCAUGUUGGGAGUCUGGCUCUCGAGAUUCGGAGGGCGGUGCCUCUUCGAUUUUGGAGUAAGCAAUCCUGUUGGGAGUGUUGUCUCGAAUGUGAGUAAAGGUUGGGCAUGUUUGCUAGUCUACCUUGCCACGAAGCACAAAGGUUGACACACAGAGACUUUCCAAUUAUCCAGCAAUGGUACUGUUUCCUUUACCCUCUCUUCGCUUUUGAGAAAGUAGUCAUGUUGGGAGUCUGGCUCUCGAGAUUCGGAGGACGGUGCCUCUUCGAUUUUGGAGCAAGCAAUCUUGUUGGGAGUGUUUUUCUCGAAAGUGAGUAAAGGUUGGGCAUGUUUGCUAGUCUACCUUGCCACGAAGCACAGAGGUUGACACACAGGGACUUUCCAAUUAUCCAGCAGUGGUACUGUUCCUUUACCCUUGUGGGUAAUAAUAUGGUAGCUAGACCUUCAAAAUUUAUGUGUCUAAACUUUGUUAGUGAUGUUUCUUUGCUAUUCUUUUACCUUUCUUGGUCAGAGCGAUGUAGUGGGAGCUGCAAGCUUCACGUGCUCAACUUUGGCAAAGUUAUCUGUGGUACCCAUGAGCUAUUGUUGCGUGUGGGAAGUGGGUGAUUGAACAGUAAGAUUCAUGUGCUUUCUACUUCACCAGAAGUCUUCGACAGAAUGCCCAUAAUUUCUGCAAAGCUGAGUGUGCGUGUGACAGGUGCUGACAAGGCUAGAAAAGUAGGUGCCUCUUCGAUUUCUGAGAUCGGCCCUCGUGGUCUCUGAGCAGCCCAGCUUUUGAGAAAGCAAGCGCCUCUUCGAUUGAUUCGGAUAACGAUGCCUCAUCGAUUUUUGAGAAAGCAAUCAUGCUGGGGGUCUGGCUCUCGAAGAUUCGGGGAGCAGUGUCUCUUCGAUUUUUGAGAAAGUAAUCACGUUGGGAGUCUGGCUCUCGAGAUUCGGAAGGCGGUGCCUCUUCGAUUUUGGAGCAAGCAAUCUUGUUGGGAGUGUUUUCUCGAAUGUGAGUAAAGGUUGGGCAUGUUUGCUAGUCUACCUUGCCACGAAGCACAGAGGUUGACACACAGGGACUUUCCAAUUAUCCAGCAAUGGUACUGUUCCUUUACCCUCUCUUCGAUUUUUAAGAAAGUAGUCAUGUUGGGAGUCUGGCUCUCGAGAUUCGGAGGACGGUGCCUCUUCGAUUUUGGAGCAAGCAAUCUUAUUGGGAGUGUUUUCUCGAAUGUGAGUAAAGGUUGGGCAUGUUUGCUAGUCUACCUUGCCACGAAGCACAGAGGUUGACACACAGGGACUUUCCAAUUAUCCAGCAGUGGUACUGUUCCUUUACCCUUGUGGGUAAUAAUAUGGUAGCUAGACCUUCAAAAUUUAUGGGUCUAAACUUUGUUAGUGCUGUUUCUUUGCUAUUCUUUUACCCUUCUUGGUCAGAGCGAUGUAGUGGGAGCUGCAAGCUUCACGUGCUCAACUUUGGCAGAGAACUUUGGCAAAGUUAUCUGUGGUACCCAUGAGCUAUUGUUGCGUGUGAGAAGUGGGUGAUUGAACAGUAAGAUUCAUGUGUUUUCUACUUCCCCAGAAGUCUUCGACAGAAUGCCCAUAAUUUCUGCAAAGCUGAGUGUGCGUGUGACGGGUGCUGACAAGGCUGGAAAAGUAGGUGCCUCUUCGAUUUCUGAGAUCGGCCCUCGUGGUCUCUGGGGAGCCCAGCUUUUGAGAAAACGAGCGCCUCUUCGAUUUCUGAGAUCGGCCUUCGUGGUCUUUGAGCAGCCCAACUUUUGAGAAAGCAAUCGCCUCUUCGAUUUUUGAGAUCAACCCUCGUGAUCUCUAAGCAGCCCAGCUUUUGAGAAAGCAAACGCCUCUUCGAUUUCUGAGCAGGCGCCUCUUCGAUUUCCGAAGCUCCGUCGAGUGCAGAUUUUUAUAGAGGCUGACAUUAAGUUCCAAAGCACACUUGAAUCUCCACCAGUAGAAGCUUAAUUCUUGCACUUCUAAGAUCUUGAUUUGUCAAACCUCUUCUCUCUUCAACACCUUUGAAAAUGUCUGGCCCCUCCGACCGUCGUUUUGACUUGAACCUUGUUGAAGAGGCAGCCCCGCCUUCUCCAGACAACAUAUGGCGCCCAUCCUUCGUCUCCCCUACUGGGUCCUCUUUACCGUUGGGGAUUCCGUGAUGAAGAAUGAUAUGACCGCUGCGGUGGUGGCCAGGAACCUUCUCACUCCCAAAGAUAACAGACUACUUUCCAAACGGUCUGAUGAGUUAGCUGUUAAGGAUUCGCUGGCUCUCAGUGUUUCAGUGUGCAGGUUCUGUGUCUAAUAUGGCCCAACGCCUAUUUGCUCGAACCCGCCAAGUUGAAUCCUUGGCGGCUGAAGUGAUGAGUCUCAAACAGGAGAUUAGAGGGCUCAAGCAUGAGAAUAAACAGUUGCACCCGGCUCGCACAUGACUAUGCUACAAACAUGAAGAGGAAGCUUGACCAGAUGAAGGAAACUGAUGGUCAGGUUUUACUUGAUCAUCAGAGAUUUGUGGGUUUGUUCCAAAGGCAUUUAUUGCCUUCGUCUUCUGGGGCUGUACCGCGUAAUGAAGCUCCGAAUGAUCAACCUCUGAUGCCUCCUCCCUUCUAGGGUUCUGUCCAGUACUGAGGCUCCAAAUGAUCCCCCUCCGGUGCCUUCUCUUUCUGGGGCUCUACCGACUGCUGAGACUUCUCCUAAGCAACCUUUGUGAAGGCUCCGUCUUGUGUGUUUAUUUUGACUCAUGUAUAUGUACAUAUUUGUAGCUGAUCGGGGAUAUCAAUAAAUAAGCUUUCCUUCAUUUCAACGUAUUGUGUUAAAUACACCAAAGCCUUCUUCGCUAAGUUCUUUGAAUUUUCUUUUGUUGAAGCUUGUAUGUUGAAGCUUUCUGAGUGGAGCAUGUAGGUUGGGGUAGUGUUCCCUUAAUUUCCCGAGUGAGGAAAACUUCUCGAUUGAAGACUUGGAAAAUCCAAGUCACUGAGUGGGAUCGGCUGUAUGAAUCUUAGAACGCCAUUGUGCUCGAUCCUGUGUCAUGUCCUCCGUUAGAUCCAAGUACUCUAAGUCUUUUCUUAGAGUCUCUUCCAAAGUUUUCCUAGGUCUUCCUCUACCCCUUCGGCCCUGAACCUCUGUCCCAUAGUCGCAUCUUCUAAUCGGAGCGUCAGUAGGCCUUCUUUGCACAUGUCCAAACCACCGUAACCGAUUUUCUCUCAUCUUUCCUUCAAUUUCGGCUACUCCUACUUUACCCCGGAUAUCCUCAUUCCUAAACCUGCCAGAUGAAUACCUGGCAUAAAUUCAAAUCAAACAGAAUAUUAUUAUAAGAGCAUUCUCCUCUAACACCCCCCCCCCCCGGGGGCAGGGUGCAUAGGCCUCGCUUUUUGCUUUUCUCUAUAUUUUGUAAUAUGAGUUUCAAUUUUGCUCCUGAAAUAGAUUUACGAAACAAAACCCAAAAAAAUUCACUUCAAACGCCGUCCAAGAGAAAGCACAUGUUACAAGUAGUAUAUACUAAACCCAGGAGGAGGAAGUGUCCCCUCGUUGUCCAUUCAAAACAAACAUAGUAAAACUUGAGCCUUCAACCCCACCUGUGCCCGAUACUUUGGCAUUCCAUGGUUUAAAUGAAAUCAUACCAUAUAAAAAGUCAAUAUCUUGGUCGAAGAAUAUAAUAUCUCAUGUAAUUUUAGCCUUUCAGCUGUUGAGAAUAUCGCGUUUAAGAAUGGGAAAAAUAGAACAAACUCCGGAAAUCGAAAAACAAAUAACCAAGAUAAAUAACACCAAGAAUUUACGUGGUUCGGCAAUAUGUGUUUACGUCCACGGGACAGCAACAACAAUCUUUCACUGUAUCAAUAAUGAGUACAACAAAUAAUCUUGCCAAAUCUCUAGAACUAGGACUUGACGAAAAACCUGAAAGAACAAGAACAAGAAAUACACUAUCUCUUUUCUUUUCUCUCGCACACACUUUGCCCCUUUUUAUUCUCUCACUCUAAUCCCUUGAGUGGUAUACAAUUUAUUGUUUUGCUCCCUUUUUCAAAACUAGUACAAUAGCCCCUUUAUAUAGACAUAAUAAAGGUCUUCUUCAAUAAGGAUUAUUAAUCCUAAUUGGAAUCUAGUUAUAAAUCCUACUCCAAUUGAGAAACUAACUCCAAUUGGGUAAAAAACUCCAAUUGGGAAAACAAUUUAAUCCUCUAAGACUAUAAUUCCUUAUAGACUUAGGACAACUUAUCAUGGGCUGGAAAAACCUAACAGCAGCUUGCUCGCAUCAACUAACCAACGGUGAUAUUUUACUCACUGCACAUGUCCACUAUGAAAAAGAUGAGGAAGUUCAAUGCUCUUCUCAUAUAACAAUUUUCAAUUCGAAAAUUUAGAGUUUAACAAUGUGCAGGUAGAAUAGUAGGAUUGUUAGGGCCAGAACAUGUUUUGAUCUGAGAGAAUGAUUAAAUAGUUCCAUGCACUCUUACAUUCUGAGUUGCCACAUUCAGAUUAGAUCAAUACCACAACUGUAGAACAAAAGAUGUAAUUUGAUUUUUUAUUCUAGAUCAAACCAGUUCCAUCAUCAACAAAAAGAACAGAAACUUUCUUCAGAUACAGCACAUAAUUUUGUGCCAGCAGUAUUUUAUCCGAGUAAGAGGUCGCACUUGGUGCGAUGGCAAGUGCCUUCGCCCAUGAGCGGUAGGUCUCGGGUUCGAGACUUGGGAGCAGCCUCUCCAUUAAUGGGGAUAAGGCUAGCCGACAUUCACCUCUCCCAGACCCUGCGUAAAGCGGGAGCCUUGUGCACUGGGUACGACCUUUAGUAUUUUAUCCGAAUCUUACUUUUGUACUGAGCAAAUUAUGACUCUACAGUGUCCCAAAUAACCCUAAAUCAUUGACCCAAAAAACAAUACCCUAUCAUCAAAGUUGUUGUCCAGAAUUUCCAGCAACCUGUCUUCAAUUACAAGAUCUAUCUUUUAUGCCUCUAAACCAUUAACAUAGUCAAGCUUCAACCAAUGUACGAGCAUUAAAAUCCCUCCUAGAACCAAACAUUAAAAUCAGGACAUUAGCCAAUCCUAAAAUACCAAACAGAUUGCUAAACUAAAAAGGUUUGCACACAGCAUAAAGAAACACUAAGAAACUGAGAGAGAGAGAGAGAGAGAGAGAGAGAGACCCUUGACUUUCCAGUGAACUUGUCAUGUAGUAUUCUUACAGCAACCACUCCCCCAACAUCACUGAAGAAUUGACGCAGAUGUUCAUCAUUUGCCUGAAAAACACGAACAGUUUCUAAGAUCAUGCCUGUGCAUUAAAGAAGAGAAUAAGAAAGGAUUUAGGGGUUGUGUACUUGCCUUAAGGUUAAUAUUUGAAACAAAAACAGUACACUGGUCAGCAUAUACUUUUCCUUUCUCUGGAACACGCUCUUUCAUCUGUUGCUCAUUUUCUCUAUCUGGUUGGUCACCCAUGGCCUUGAUCUUUUCCACUUUAGUUUGUUCAACUGAGUUCACCACCUCAGAAUCCUUCCCAUGUGCUUUCUUUGGCUUUUGGGCUGCAUCUUUUUGCCUCUUUGCUGGAUGCUGUUCAUUAGGUAUCUCAGAAACUUGCUUUCUCUUAUCACGAGCAUUCUUCUUCAAAGGAGACUCUUCUGUCAAUUUGGAUUCUUGUUGUGACCUGAAUAAUUCUAGCUCUUCCAGACGAGGAGUGACCUAAAUAAGGGAGCAGAAGUCAACAACAGACCUUCAAUCUGUUGGAGUGAUGAGCACUUCUUUAAAAUAUAGAUUGACAAAAGAACAGUGACUUGAGCUGAGAUGAUCAAGGCAAAGCAUAUCCGUACUUAAACUGCGCAAAUUUGGAUAACUUUUAACACUAAAAACUGCCUCCCCCGGGUCUAUGUAAGAUAUGGUAGAACUAGUGCUAGUGUAGUUUUCAGAUUUUAAAAUGAUGAGUAGUUUGUUAUUCAUUAAGUGAUAAAACUUCAUUAUGGUACCUACACUGACAUCACACCAACCUUAUAAGCACAAUCAUUGGUGGCUCUCAUAUUACAGUUUUCUUUUGACAAACUCUGACUUUAUAUUACUGUAAACUGCAAUGUAUCUAGAAAUAAAGGUAGAAUAAUUACCUUCACAUUCACAUAUUCUAAAUGAUUUCGGUUCCAUUUAUCAUUUUCAUAUGUUGAGUAAUUUAUUAAUCAUUAGGUGAAUCUUUAUUCACAUUACCUAAGCUGAGGACAUUAGACAAAUCUUAUGAAGUACAACCCUCAGCAUGGCGACAAACUUUUUAUGUUAACCAUUAAUUUUUCUGCAAUCCAGAAAUGAAGGAACGUGAAGUAGAAAGAUGGAAAUUACCUUCACAUUCACAUAUUCUAACGAUUUCAAAUUUCAUACAACAUUCAAUUGGUAAGUGCAAAAGAGGGAAAAUGUACCUUCUGUACUGCAUGGUCAAAAUCAUCCAACGAACCAAACUCCCUCUCAAAACGUAACCACGAGUGGCAGAUGUCCUGAAUUAUUCUGUAUUUUAGGAACUGAAGGCACCAUCUAAUCCCAAAUGUAUUAUAUACAAGCGUAUAAGCUACUAUAUAAUAAAAAUAAAACCAAACAUAUGCACAAACACCCAAAUUGACAUGAUCAAUAAGCAACAAACCAAAUUUUUGCAAGAAACUACAUGUACACUACACGAGUCAGUAUGAAGUAUGAACACAGAAUGAAAACCGCUACUAUCAAAAUUCAAGACACGAGGCCUUUUAGGAAAAAAGGCAAGCUUCUUGCAGUGAUAUGGUUUAUAAUUUGUUGAAAAGAAAGCUAGAUAAUACACCAAAUUACUGAAGAAAGCUUCACUUCAAAUAAUCUUUACAACUAAGUUUUAAAUUUUUUUAUUUCUAAUAGUAACUUUCAACUUUGUCAAUUAAUUCUUGCUGUUUUAUCCUUCUUAAGAACGUAAAUGCUGAUCACAUCUAAUUCGAAGCCAUAACAUCCAGAUUCACCUGGGUUUUAAAAUCCCCAGAGGCUUCUGCUAAAUUAUGCGCCACAUUGGGGCUAGGAACGAGGGGAGAAUGUUGACAAUUUGAUAAUCAAUAGGCUGAAGAAAUCUGUAACCAAAUACUUAUCUAUAGAAAUGUUCUCUUGGUCAACUAGUAACCAAGAAAUGCAUGGUCAGUGGUCACCCACCAUUGAAUUUGAUAUCAGGGGUGGAGAUUUUAAAUGGAUGUGCUUACUAUCAAAUCUAAGGGUGACCAUGAAUCCUUGGUCACCAGGUGACCAAGAGAACUGUACUUUGCUCAUCUAAUCUAACCUCACUGCCUGCUAUGAACAAACAAGAUAUUUACUCGAUUCUGUGCUCAAUGUUUGAACAGGAAUAUGAAAUAUGAAAUACGGACAUAGCGUAUCACACAAAUCAGAACCCAAAAACUAGGCAAAAGUAAACACAAACUCCUGAAUGAGUUAAAAAAGUUGUGAAAAUUUGAGAGAGGCCGAGUGGUCAAAAACAAGUUUCAUUCAAGAAUAUAGACGAGGAAAGUAGAUCUUACCUCUGAACCAGUUCUGGGAAAUCUUUUACUGUAACAUCUCCUAUAUAGGGCCCGAGCUUCAUUAACAUGACCCAAUUCAGUUUCCAUUGCUAUAUAACCUUGCCAGGCUUCCAGCAUUGAACCACUAACAGAAGAUAAAAAAAAAAAAUUAAGCAUCAUACAAAUGCAAACAGAAAAGAAAAAAAAAAAAAAAAGCAUCCCAAUAUAACAAUCCAAAUUCACAAAUUCCAAAAUGCCCAUACCAGAGCUUAAGUAAAGUCUCCCAAACUCCACGAGCUGCCAGUUGGUCCUUAUGUAGAUUUAGCUCCAAACGGGCCCAAUAAGCAUGCAAACGUAGCAAGCCAUCCGUGUUCUUCAGGUAUGCUGACAAGUAAUCUGAUGCAUUCUGAAGGUAUAAAUUGUCAGAAAUUUCAUGUGUACAAACAAUACAUUAUUUCUUUCUACUAAGUGGAAAAAGGCUGCAAAAAAGCAUAAUCCUUACCAGCAUAUGGGUUAUUUUGCCUGGACACAACCAAUGUGAUUGCUAACCCUUAAACGUACAGAAAAAACAGACUUUCCUUUUUCUCUUUCUUAUGAAGAACAUACUGGUAACUUAGGACUUCAAUUGAUCCAAACAUGGAUAUACAUGUAUUUGUACAAAUAUAUAUAUAUAUAUAUAUUUUUUUUUUUUUUUUUUUUUUUUUUUUUUUUUUGAGAAGACAUUUUCUUUUUCAUCUUUGGAAUAUGCAAACAACAACGUAACACCUGUAAUCCCACCCCACCCACCCCUGACCAAACCUCACUUAAUUCAGAAGACCAAGAGACACAUACAAUCUAAUUGCAAUUUAGUAAUUGUGGUAAGUUUAAUCCCAACUAGUUUUCCUUGUAACUUCGCCACAAAAAUGAAUUACGUUUUUAUAUAAGUGAAAAAUAAUAACAAACCUGAAAGGUUUCCCUGAUUAAUGAAUACUCCAAGCCAUGCUCUCUUUCAACAGCGCAUGAUAUUCUUCUUCUUAAGCCAUCUACACGGGUGAGGUACAAAUCUAGGUACUAAAGAAAAGAAGCUCAAUGAACAAAGAUAUUAAAAAAUAUUGUCACAUAUUUAGAUACAAAGACAGAAAGACAAAUCAAUUAUAAGAACAUCUGUACCUCAUCAAGGGUUAAAGUGCAUAGCAGAGACUUCUCAAACACCUGAGAAUGAGCAACAAGUUAAAAGGUACUCUACACAUUUUUCAAGAAAUCAUAAUGGAAUUGUAUUUCUAUUGGUUCAUUUUACGUUUAUUCAUUUUUGGUUUGGUAAAGGCAUCCACUGGAGUUGUAUUGAAAAUUGAGUCUUCACUGGAGAAUAUUCUGGCUGAGACUGGAGACUAAGUCUAAUGAGAAGCAAAGCCCAAUAGUAAGUUACCUAUUGGCUCUACAGUUUGAUGUACUAGUUCCUUAACACAUGAAACAUGUCAAGAGUAAAAAUUUUGGCAUUUCUUUAAAUUCAAAGCCAAAUAGUGCCCAUUCAUCCUUCACUGUAAACCAAAACCCUUGCCCUCCUUUUCUUACAUAUAUCAUAUUAAGGGAAAUUUUGAAAAGAAAAGGCAAUUACAUAACAGCAAUGUCAGGAAUACCAUAUUAAAACUUUGUGGACAAUAUCAUCAAACAAACGUUGCCAAGAUUCAUAUUUUCUCAUUGAAAUAGUACUUCCUAGAAUCUCAGAAGAAGGGGGAAAAUAGAUAGAGAACACCAUGAAGCCCAAAUGAACGGAGCAAAAAUAGUUAAGAUAGACUUGAUUCAGGACACAAGUCACAUAUUUAGAAUUUAAUAUGGUCCAGUCAGUAAACCAACUAAUAUAAUACGACAGUGUUGGCAUACUCCAAGUAACCAUUCAAGGCUAGUUCUUUCUUUCUCUUACAACAUAUUCUUUAAAACUACUAGGCAAACAGAGAUGUAUUUCUGUCUGAUGUAGCUUAAUAACCAAGUCAAAAGCAAGUAUUCCAACAAGUAAUCAAUCAAAGAAAUUAGAAGCAGACAGAGAUCAAUAAAAAAUGGUCCAGCCAAACAAAAUUGAAAUUUAAAACAUACAGAGGCAAUCUCUUUCUCAGAAACAUGACCACGCUCCAAGGAAAGCAUGUAUUGGACCCAAAGCUCUCCAACACAGGGGCAAUUCAUUACAGCCCUGGAAUAAACGUUGGUUAUAACAUUGCCAACCUGAAAAGGUUAAAAAAAAUUACUUUAACAGCACAGGGUUGCCAUUGGAACAGAAAAUACGUAAUAAGAGAUGCCAAGGGAUAAAAACCUUCAAUGUUUUGUCCAAAUAACGAGUAUAAUCAAGCCAGAGAUAACUGGAUAUAGGAAAGGCCGUAAUAGCACGUUCAUACAACGUCUGGACCCGGGCUGGAUCUCCAGAAGACUGUUCAAAUCUCAAGUAGUUCUGCAGAAAAGAAUAAUUUAUUCUUUCCAGAAACUGAAGAUUUACACAUUAAGUAAAUAAACUAACCGGAGGAUCAUAAUGACAAACCAUACAAAUGAAAGUAGAAAGGAGGCAGAAAAGACCAGAAACUGAAGAUUUACACAUGAAGUAAAUAAACUAACCAGAGGAUCAUAAUGACAAACCAUAGAAAUGAAAGUAGAAAGGAGGCAGAAAAGACAAACCGUAAGUUCAAAAAAGACAAUGGUGCAAGGAUAUGUAAAGGCAAACCAGUGAAUAAAAGGAAAAUACAACUGUCAUUUCUAACUUAAUUUUUCUACGGUUCUAAUAAGUACUAGUUCCAAAUUAUACAUACCAUGAAAUUUUGAAGUCUUUCCGACUCUGACAUAUCCUGCAGACAAAUCUGUUCUUCAAGAUGAAUGCGAGCAUCAUACAUUUCCAGUGCCUUUUUGUACGCUGAGGCAACCUGGAAUGAAAUUCCAUCCAGGUCACUGGAGCCAGCAUCAAGAAUGUUUCCUUGUUCCACCUCCCAUGCCUUGUAAUCCAAAAGUGUUGACCUCAUAUUAACAUGGGGGACUGACAACUGACGGUGGAAUAAAGAGCGGACACGCUGAAUUUGCUUUUCUCUUGCCUGCAGUGUAAGAAGAAUUUCUUGAAUAUAGAUCUCAAAAAUAGUUUAACCAUCUAAAGGCGGCAUAUAAUUAUCCCAAAAACAAUAAUUAUAAUAUGAAUAACUAAGUAAGUCGUGGGGCAUUCAAAUCAAAAUGUAAUUUAGAACUCUUACAGGCAUUUAGUUAUUUCUCUUACAGGUUUUAAAGAAGAGAUGGCUGAAACCAUAACCAAAAUUAGAUACUAAUCUGCAUAUUUACAGUUGUAUGGCUUACCUUUUAAAUACCAUUAGUUUAUUCGUAGUACUACUAUGAACAUGUAAAUCUGAACUGAGCUAUAAGAAUUGGCAUAACAAAGAAAAAGAUUAGACUGAAAUGUUGGCCAAAGAGAGAAAAGUCACAGAUGGAGUUCAACAUUUGAUCGUCAGUCUCAUUCUCUUUUAUUAUUAUAACAGGAAACAUAAACUUGUAUAGAAAAUGAAGAUGUACUACAAGAAAAGACGGCCAAGAGAUCCAUCAAUAUACCACUACAAACCUGAUUGUCUUUCUCGUCGAUAGUAUGAAAUAUAGCUUGCUCAAAUGACCGAUAGGCUUCCCAUAGUUUAUUGCCUUCAGAAACAUGCAAACCAGCUGCAGUAAGAGCACGUUCAAAUAGAUCUCUGGCCUUCGAAAUACCAGCAGGCGAACAUUCUCUUACUGAGGGAUCAUUUUCUUUAACAAAAUCUAAGUAGUCACACCAAAGAGAGAUGGACUGCAAUUGAAGGUCACCAAGUUAACAGUCAAUAUUCCCUGCAAUUCUUUGAUCAUUAACAACAGAAAAAUAUGAACAGUGAUCAAGAAUCGAUAUGUUGGGCAAAGCUUUAAACUUACAUCAAAUCUUAACGAGACUAGAUACUGGUGCUAGCCCACUCAAUGAACAAUCUCUAGACUAAAGUAACCCAAUGAACACUUCUAGAACAAAAGUGUGAUGUUUCAUUACAAGUUUAAAGUUAACUAUGUUCUUGCACAACCAGAACAUAAACAACAUAAGUUCAUCCAAGUAUAGAGAAGGGGUAUAAACCUUAGAUCACUUUGAACGGAGCACAUCCAUUUAGAGAAUGAAAACCCUCUUGUACAAAAGUUAGGACAAGUUAUGUGCAUAUGAAACAGAAAAAUUGUCGAUAAGGCAUUCUGCUUUUAUAACUGAAAGUUUGGAUGCCAUCCAAUUCAAAGUCAUAGUUAAGUUUGUUUAUUUUGCUUCUCAUUUUCAAUUUUUGCCAUAAGCGUCCAUAAUUAACAUAAAUAUGGCAUGGCAUAUCAAGAAAUAACAAUUUUUAAAUUGCACGUUUUCUAGAAUAAAGAAGCAUAACCAACCAGAUAUUCAAAGACUCCUCGCUCGUAAAGCUUUUCAAUAGCCCAAAAAGCAUCAGACCUGCAAAUUGGACAAAACAGAUUGUUCUUAAAUAAUAUACAAAAAAUUAGGCCACCGAAAUGAGGAACUACGUUUUCCUUUAUGUGUCCAUUGUGUCUGUGUUGUGUUUAAAUAUGAAAAAAAAAUUGAGGCAAACAGAAGAGCGUUGGUAACGAAACGAGAGUACCCAGUGGAAAGAGAAGCUUCGUCCUUAGCCCAAUCCUGCCACAUAGAAGGGGUUAACGGAAACAGCUGAUUCAUAGCUUCCCUUGCUUGCCUCAGCUUUUCAAUUUUAGCCAUUUGCCUCAGAAUCUUGAUGUACUGUAGUCACAAUAAGAAUUCAAAUUUAGAUUUUCGUCAGCAACCAGACAGACGGUAUUCGAACAACAAUGCAUAACCCAUUAGAAAAAAUUAAUAAAGGAGCGAGAAUAUUGGCAAAGGUGAAUACUUACUUGGACAUGAGUAUCGUAGUUGCCAGGAUUGGCAGACAGUUCGGCUUCAAGGGUUUGGAGUUGGAGGUUAUGGUGGGCUUGGUCGUCGCCGUCUUCAGAGCCAGAGUCAGAGUCGGAAUCGGAAUCGGAGGAGCUAAGGUCUUGGUCAGGGAGGUCUGCCAUGGGUUGGUCGCCAUUGUUGCCUUCUUCAGAAGUAAGGGGUUUUAGGGUUUCUUCGUCCAUAUGUGAUCUUUAUUCGAAUUGGUAUUGGAAUUAGAAUUCUUUCUUUCUUUCUUGCAGUGAGGCUUGAAACAUGGGAGGCUUUUUUUCCUUCUUAUUUUCUGGUGCGAGCGAUGUAUUUUUACUUUUAUGCCCUAACCUGUGCCAACUGCAAACCUGGGCCAAAUGUAAAAAAUUGUCUUUACUUGGGUUAAUUGUAAUUAACAAUCAAAUUGCAAUAUGUUAUGACAUUGUUAUUCACACACCUUUUUGCCCAUCGUAUCGAAUGAAUUGAAGAAAAUAAAGACAAAAAAUUAACAAGGAUGUGAAGUAAAAAUGUGUAUGAAUAGCCCUAUUGACACACCCUGACCUAAAUCAAGGCAUGUUGGACGUCACGUGAAUAUGAUGUAGUUAUGUGCACAGUACGGAAACAAUAAAGAUAUAAAGAAAUAUGAAUGAAUAAAAACCAAUUUACUAGCAGUACUAGCUAAGAUAACGUGCUAGUACGAGAAUAAGUGUGAAAUACACAACCAAAGUAUAAAAAGCCUAAAUGCAGUCAAGCAGACAAGUACUGAUUAAACAACACCCAAGGAUGAUCCUACAUUUGAUAUUCUGCCAGAACCACCGACAAAAUCCUCGUGAUCCACCAAAGCACUUCUAUCUAAAACCUGGAGGGGCGCAAAACAAAAAGUGUGAGUGGGCAAAAACAAAGCUUUUCAAAAUCAUUUCAUUUCUCAAAAGUUCUAACCCCUCACCGUAAAACCUGUAUAAUUUACCAUAAAGUAUAAUAUAUGCUAUAACAUAAAUCAUGCUCAGGAUGAAAAUCCAUAGAAGUAUACCAUACCAAAGUAUCUAAAUGAAAUGCCAUAAGUAAUCCAAUUCACAUAUAUCAAUGCCAGAUAUCUUAUCAGCCCAAUCCACCUAAUGUAACAUGCAUGGCUGAAUCUAUAGCACAUAACCAAUCUCAAUCAUAUCAAAUCAUACACACGAGUCAAAACCACCUAAAGUGGUCUGUACGACAAGACUGGGUGUAAAAUAAAUAUGUUCUAGUGUUACGAUCACGUGAAGACUGUGCGAAUGAUCGCGGGUCACCUACGAGUCGGAACCAUCUAUAAUGGUCUGUACGACAAACAUGUGCACCUAACUUGGAUCCAAGGUGAGCAUAUGGUGCGGGAGGGAAUGAAUGUGCCCUAACUCUGGAUGGGAGCACUAACACCGGGGUGCAGGUUUAUUAGCUCUCACACAUCACAUCAUAUUUGCAUAACUGAAGUAACCUCAUACCUUUAAUGUAUAAACUUACCUGUGCGUCCACAGCACCAAUCAUAAAUAUAUGCAACUACUAAUACAUAAUUAAAAUAGGCAGAUACUUUGUAUGGCAUUUCAAAACGUAUAAUCAUUCAAAUUCAUUUUUUGGGAAAAAUCUAAAGUAUAUAAGUAUAUGCGGAAAACCAAAAGCCCACUCACUGGUAUGUCGAAGGGUCGUAGCCCUCGAGUCUUGAUUGAUGGCGCUUGUCCUCAGGAUAGGUCUCACCUAUAUGUGAAAUAACUGAAUAACCGUUAUUUAAAGCACAUACACAAAACUAGCUAAUAACUUCUCAUACAUUGCUCAAAUGGGGUAUUUAAAUAUACUACCAUGACCUACUCAACCUUAGAAACAUCCCCAUAUUUUAAGAAAAUUUUUCCGAGCUCCCACGCGCCCUCACACGUCGGCCAAGGCACUGCCAGACGCGCGGCUCACGCACAGGCACAUGCCUAGCACACCAAACGGAUUCCCUAAUGGCGUUAGGGAAUAUUCCGUUAAAAAUCAGAAUAUGCCGUUAAAGUUACCUGACGGCAUCAGAAUAUUCUGUCAACUUUGACGGAAUAUUCUCCUCUUUCUUCCUUGGUUCGCCGGAGUCCGGUGCAAUCGUCGGAAACUGGGAAAUUUUAAAACUUCAAUAUCUUGCUCAUUUUUCCACCAAAACUCACGAAAUUUGUACCAAAAUGAAGCUUAGGACUAGAAGAACAAAACCUUACCACUUUCAAGCCUUGAAAUCCACGAGAUUUCGCUGGAGGAACCUCGAUAUUCCGGGCAAACUUGAAACUUGCCAAACUCAACUUCCCGACAUCCAAAUCACUUCGUUUUUCUUCUCCGAACUUCGUGAAGAUGUCCUAAAGCUUAGCAGCUUAAAAUCUCCUAAAAACUUUGAAAUCACGAGUGCAUGAAUAGUAACCCAAAAUUGGGUUCUCGGAAAAAUGAGGUCUUUACGUUCUAAAAACAGUAUAGAUGUGUUCCUGAGCUCACAAGAAACACAAAGAUGACUUCAAAAACCUCGAUCCGUGAAGAAAUUGCUUGGUUUGAGGUUUGUCCAUACGUAUUGUACGGAAAAUGGAGAAAAACCGAGAGGGAGGAGAGAGAGAGGGUCAACGAGAUUGGGUAUGGAUGUGUGUAUGGGGUCCAGUUUGCAGCCAACCAAAAACAAAAGAAAUUAAAACCCAAGUCCCAAAUAGUUCCUAAAGUUUAGGAAAAUAGGAAUUGGACCACAACCAAAACAUAUCACACAACACCUCAACGUCUAAGGAUACUUAGACAAUUCACACCAUCGAAAAAUUUGCUGUCACACUUUCACGGCAAAUCUAUAAUAUUCAGUUCUUCCUCCUUACUAGUUCUUGGUUACUCGUACAAUAUUUUCUCUCCCUCUUUUCUGUCUGAUAUGUGCGCAAGCCUGUCUUAUUUUGUACCGCCAAAACCCAUUAAUCACCGCAUCAAACAUUUGGAUUGAUCCCUCACAAGCACAUCAUGGAAAUCAUCAGGUUUUCUCCAUAUAAACCGCAAAUUCCAUGUUCUGUUUCACAAAUUAUAAUUUUUUAUAAAACUUGCACAGAACAUAUAAUGUUUAAACCCAACAGUUUAAGACAAAAUCAUGACUAAAUAUUAGAAAAAGAAGCAUAAAUGCUCAUAUAAAACCAACCUAACAGAGGGUUAGAUAGGGCAAUCUCUUCAACAAGUUUCUCAUCAACGCUGUUCCAAAAACUUACUAGCUCAAUCUAACGUUUUGUGACAAAUUAGCAUAGGUGGCAUGUGUAGCCAUUCAGGGGUUUAGCAAUUGUUUGAGCAAAUUCACUCAAAAUCAUUUUCUUAUCACUAGAGCAUUGUACUCAAGUGGCACCUCUGCAUUUGUUUGAAAUCCUCCUAUAUAAUAUAUUACUUUUGUAGUUACAUUGGUAGUGGCAAAGGCCAAAAAUGAAGGCAUUAUUCUCACGCAGAAGAUACCUACAACUUAUUACACUAAUUCAUAUCAUACCAAAACGUAAGUAAUAUAAUAAAUCAAGUUCAAUGAUGCAUGCAUAUUACAAAUACUUAUUUUGAUUCAAUCAAUCCCCAUGUCAACAUUACAACACGACACAUCAUAUAGCCCUAUUGAUUAUAGCAGUGAGCGCACUUAAUUAUCUUUAACGUACAUUAUGUACUCAGUUGCUUUCUUGAAUUUCAUGCGACCUUUGUAGGUUCGACAUCCGCCCCAUGAUCAGCAGACGAGGAAGAAGAGGCGAUGUUGAUGAGCUUGGGCUGCCUCUUCUUCUCCGCCGCUAACUUUGGCACCGUAAUCUUCAGCACCCCGUCCUCCAGGUGAGCCUUUAUCUGAUCCAAGUCGGCGUUCCCAGGCAGUCUGAACUGCCUCCAGAACUUGCCGUCUGUCCUCUCAGCGCGGUGCCACUUGUAGUUGUCGCCCUGCAGUUCACCUUCCCGGUCGUCGGCCUUCCUCUCUCCGCUGAUCCUCAGCACCCUGUUCUCCUCCACCUCUAUCUUGACGUCCUCCCUCUUCAGCCCCGGGACGUCCAAUGAGAUCACGUGUGCAGUCGCCGUCUCUUUCCAGUCAGCACGUGCCAGAGCGAGCGCCUCUUGAGCGACUUUAGUAGGGUUUGGGACGGUGAAGGGAGUCUGUUCGAGAGUUCUGAAGGGGUCAUCGAUCAUCAUGUGGUCCAAGAGGGAGGAGGGGGAUAUUGGGUUGUACGGAAUCAAGGCAUUGGUUUGGGAGGGGGCCAUGAGGCCUAACAUCAUCAUCACAAGUAGUACUGACUGCACCACCAUCAUCACGUUAUUCUUCAUAUGCAUGGUGAAUGCUGAAUGGUGAUCGGUCGGUGAGGAAGCAGGAAAUUUAUUAACUGGCCAAAUAACUGAGAUGCUUGUUGUGCUUAAUUAAACUACAGAAAAUCUGCAAGACUGAGGAGUGGGUUGGAACUUUGUAACGCUGAUGGGAGAAAGUGGAAAGGGCGAGGGUUGGGAGUUUAUUUAUAGGGCGAAUGCAGACAUAGGGAGGGAGGGAGGGAGAUGAUGAUGGUUUUAUCUUUCUAGAUAUUUCUUGUGUUUUGUGGAAAAAUAUAGAACAAUCUAGCAAAGUAAUGAGAUUGGGAUCGAAGAUUACAUCACGGACCAAAAAAAGACGAGGUUUAUCGAAUGUUCCAGAAGGUAAAAGAAACAACUCAAGGUACAGUUGCUUAAAUUAAUACCAAGUAUUCUUAUGCUAGGACUUAACUACGAAUGAGAUGAGAUUUAUUCAAAACAAUCGUGUCAUAAUUUUAUGCAUCUUGUUUCAUGUAAAUCACGUCUUUUUAGUCACCCCGAAUUUCUUACCCCUAGCAUCUUAAAAAUGCCUGCAAUUUAAGUAUUUCAUGCUGUACCUUACUUAACCUUCAAUUUUUUCAUAGAAUAAAUUACUAAGCGAGAUUAGCUCUUUAAUUUUUUUGAAAGGGAAUGAGAGAGAUAUUUCAUGAAUAAUACUCUCUCUCUCUCUCUCUCUCUCUCUCUCUCUCUCUCUCUCUAUAUAUAUAUAUAUAUAUAUAUAUAAAUGCCUCAAACUAUAAAGUCGACAAAGUUGAUAUGAAGGUGUCGUCAUACACAAAGUGCCACUAAGAAAACAAAAACACACAAAGUGCUAUAAGAAAAAAUAUACAAAAUUAAUGUAUGGUAUUGAUUGAGAUUGUUUCAAAUAUGAAUAGGAUCGGGAUCAUGGGAAAUUAGGAAUGGAAUUGGAAGAAGUGUAUUCAAGAAAAUACGAAAUUGUAAAAACAUUUGAGCUCCCUCAAACUUUGGUGCAUUCAUUGUGUAUGGAAAAGGGCAAAUACACAUUAUACAAGCCUGACUUCCGUAGUGUUGCAAUAAAACUUAUAGUGGGAUCAGCAUCGGCAUCGGCAUCCGCUUGUCCCACAACAGCUCCAACCUCCAGCAAUUAAAAGCAAAAAUCAGAAUAAGAAUCUGCGAGACAUUAUAGACUUCCGUUCUUGGUUACAUCCUUAAAUUUAGCAAUGCAAUCCAAAGCGCGCUCGAAUUCACUUUCUUCGAGUGCAAUGGUGAACCGACAGUAGCCAGGAAUUCCAGACCAGGCUCCACUGUUGAUGCAUAAGCCAGUAGCCUUGUGAAUGACUUCCCGGAUAUUCGAGUCAUCAACCUUAACACUCUUGUUCAAGUAGGACGAGGGCUUGGCCACCAUGGAAACACCACCACACGGUUCAACUACAUCCCACCCGCACUUCUCCAGUGUCUAUUACAAACAAAAUUAGGAUGACAUGGCAAGUUAAAACAAGAAAGUGCAAGCUAAAACAUUAUUGUAUAAUGCAUAUAGACUCACAUAGAAAUAUGUGUGUGUGUGUGUGUGUGUGUGAGAGAGAGAGAGAGAGAGAGAGAGAGAGAGAGAGAGAGGAGAGAGGAGGGAGUUCACCUCUUUCAGGCACUUGGAUCGACUCUUCAAAGUUUUUAUAUGUUCUGCAAUAGCAUCCCACAGAUCUCCCGGUUUCUGCUCUCUAAGACUCAGCAGCUUCUUAACAGCAUAUUUAACAGUGUUAUGAGGCUUGCUCAAUCCUGGAAAGCUAUAAAAUGUAUCCACCAAAACAGACUGGUUUAAUACAAGGAACCCGAAUUUGAGCGCUCCACUCAACAUCUUCAAAGAUAAUCCCCCAAGCAGAGAGACACAAAAAGAUGGGUUACUAGUAUUUAGCUUUGACAAACUGUCCACCAGAUUCCAGCCACCCCAACCCGCAAAGUCAUAUUCCAAGCCUGAGAAGGAAGUAUCUAUCACAACUCUAGCCCCAACUUUAGCACACGCAGAGAGCAAAAUUUCAAUCUCUUUGUUGCUGUAUAUCAAACCAGUUGGGUUAAUUGUUGGUCCAGAAAUGUAUACCCAUGGCUUACUCACAGUCUCUAGUGCCCCAGGAAGCACUUUGUCUGUCAGUUUAAAGCCAUCUGCGGGCUUAGUUGGUAUAGUUACAAUAUUUGCUUUCAAAAAUUUGGCAGCAGAAACAUAGUUCCCAUUUGCACCAGCAGGAAAACACAAUGUACCCCCUUCUUUAAUGCAGCAAAGAACAAGCUUGUUAAACAGAGCAAGUGAGCUGUCAGCAUAUAUAAAUUCACUGCUGCUGUCAACUGGGUAACCAUAAGUACUCUUGAUGAAUUGCUUGAUGCUAGUGGUGAUAUCUAUUUCUGACUCAGCUAUAUUCUGUCUAGCAAAACUUUCAAAAAUAGCAGCCUUGACAGGUGAGGGUACACGCAAGAAGCUUUGAUCGACAUCCAUGUGAAUGAGGGAACAGUUCUCUGCCUCGCUAAUUGACAGCUCUGCAUCAUUGAGAACUGAGACUGCUGAACUAGCAAACCCGAUCAUCUCUGCUGAUUUAGGCAAUGCAGAUUCUCUCUGAAGAACAUAUAUGAAAAUCAACUGGAUAAGCAAACUUGUCUUCAUGAAAAGAGAAAAUGUGGUUUUACUGAAGACUUCAAUAAAUUUCUCACAGCAAGAACAGGUAGUAAACCACACCACAAUUUUUUUUCGUAUUAGAAAGUAUAAUUGACAUCAAAUAAAUCAGUGGCAGAUCUCAACAUCCUAAAGGAGGAAAAAGAGUAAAGUGAUAAAUCUCAACAUCCUAAAUAUCAGGUACACCACAGAAUUGUCUUAACUACUAUGUUCCCAAAUUAUGACACUAUGUACACAUAAUAUUCAGGUUUUUUGUCAGAAAUUAAAUAUUAUAUAAAGGUCACUUUUACACUUCAGAGAGAGAUUUACCGGGCCAAAGAAUUUAGAUAGGACAAACAAACAUUUACUGUGCUCAACAACAAUAAACAUUCCCUUAUUCCCUUCCUAAUAUCAUAAACAGAAAACAGACUAUCUUCAGCAGAUAACAGAUGAUAGACAUAAAACAAAAGGCAGAAGAACAUUUUGCAUUUUCGAAUCCAAUCAGAAUAAUAACUUACAAUGCCUUAGAGAAAGUUAUCAAAAAAUGAAAACAAAUGGAAGACUUUAAACAUAGAAAAUAAAUAAAUGGUAUAUUUAUUACUUUCUUGGCUGCAAAUAUCUCAAGUGAAAUAUACCUUUUUAAGGAAAAGCGACUGAAUUACCUGUGCAGGAGGAUGUCUGUCAGCAAGCUGAAAAGCUAAAAGUUCAUGAAAAAGGCAACCAUAAUAACAUUGGCUAAUUGGUGCAGUAUUCCCUUCUAGUAGUUCAACGGUCUUCGACAAGGCCUUGAAGAUGGCCUCCUCUUCAGAAAUUACAAAAGCUACUUCUAGAUCCGAAUAAACCUGGAAAAAAAUUUUGGCUACUCUUCAUGCGAAGAUUUUGCAUUGUAAAAAAGCUACGGAUAAAUUGAUAAGAUGACAUCUCAACAUUACAGCUUUGUAUUCAAUUAGAUAAAUAGAAAGCCUGAGAUAGCCAGGUUAAGUUGGGGAGUUCUGAAUUCAAACUGAAAGAACAAUACCUUAUUUUUCACCAAGCCACAUAUAAUUGCUGCAUGGGAUGGCAGCACAGUUCCUCCAAUAUAUUUGAGGACUCCAUUGGAACCUGGAAGGCUGGAUAGCUCAAAGUGAUCAGAUAUGUCCAAGAACAAACGAGAUCCAAUUUCUCUUGUGACAUCUAAAAGGUGCACAAAAGCUGAAUUAGUAACAGCUUCAUAAUCAGCAAUCCCCGUAACCACCACCUGUGGCUUCAGCUUCCUUAUUAGCUCUAUCAUUAAGUCAGACUGGCGAGGCGCUUCAAUAACUGUAAGUACAUCCUCUGAAGGAUUAUCAGUUCCUGCACACUAAGAUUCAGAAAUAAACGUAGUUAUGAAGAAUGCCCCAAGUGCAUAAAGAUAAUAAGUGGAACUGUGGAACUCAUUUCCCAUUAACGCAAGACUACUUUAAACUUUUAUUGGAAACUAAAAUUAUAGAUUUGGGUCCUUCUAUACUUCAUGUUUCUAUAUCCUCUCAAUAGUUUUUAGCCUCAAAGCUCAUAAUGUUCUGAAACUCUCGGAAUACCAUAUCAGUCGCAUCUACAACUUCCCACUCUGGAUCCAAUAAAAUUUUAGUUAUUCCACUAAACUGCAAUCAUCAUUGUUUUCCCAGGUUGUCACUUUUGGUGUCUAAUAAAUACUUAUAAAUUUGUAUGAUAAGGUUACAAGGGCAGACUUUUGGGUUAAUAUUACACUUAACCACAAAAGUAAUAGAGAACAAAUUAAAAUAGAAGCACCACAACUAUCAAAAUACCACACCUCAAUUGCUAACGAUGUUAACCACUCCCUUGGAAGGUGUCGGGUAAGAUGUUCAUCAACAAUUGCAAGACGAGGGGAGAACAGUCGAAGAGCAUUUUCUAUCGCGACAGCCCUUGAAGGAAAGACAACCACAUUCUUGUACAAGAAAAGAUAGAAAACAAGUCAGAAUGCACCUUAUACUACACAACAGGAAGGGCACAAACAUGAACUUCUGCAGAUUACACUUAAGAAUGAAAAAUACUUAGAUUUCCUUGAUUUUUGGUAUAAUUUAUUUCUUUUAUUUUGCUACAAAACUAAUUUAAAAGAAGUAAAAGUAUGUUUCUAGAUAACUCUUGGCUACAUCACUUUGAAAGCAAGGAGAGGAUCACUAUACAGUUUUAAAAACAAAUCACAGAUAAUCUGUGUAUAUGUGUCAUAAUAUCAUUGAACUUAUAUAAUUAAACUGAAAAGGAAAAUCACCAGGCCAUCUAAUAUCUAAACUAUCUAAUUAUUAUGACCAAUCUUGUGAUUAUUUGAUUAAUUUAGAUAUUUCAUAUUUUCUCAUCCAUCAAAGAGCCAUAUAAAAGUUGGUUAGAGGGGUAAUCAGAUUUUUCUGGAGCAUUCACAACUAGGGACACUAAACGCAGCCAGUAUAUUCACAAUGGUGAUGAGAAACUCAUAACCAACAUGGAAGAAAGGCUAACCAACCUAUGUAUCAAGAUAACUAAUAUCUUGAGGACCUCAUGCAUCAUACACUUUAUCAAAUCAAUUAAAUUUAUACCUGGGGACAGAACAAAGGGAUACAUCACUGUUACUUGUGUAAUCUCCAAGCCAUAGGGAAAAUAUUGACCAUAAGUAUAAUUCAAUGGCAUUCUUCAUUUCUAGGAUGUAAAUUCAUGCUAAUUUUCACAUUGGGAUCUAUUUGUCACCUGAUAAGUCUAAUUCAAUGGCAUUCUUCAUUUCAUUUUAUUAUUUUCUAUUUUCUGUGAUGAUGAUAAUCAUGCAGGUUUGUGAGAUCUUCCUACCACUUUUUAGUUAACAUGAUUUAGUUGAGCAAUCAAUAACAUCUAUCACAGAAAAAGUUGAUAUAUGUUUUGUACAAGAGGUUAUCAUCUUACAUCAGCUUUGAGUGGAAUGCGGUGAUAUGUUUUCAUAAACCCAGCAAUGAGACUACGAAAAUGUUUGCUUCCAGCUGGUGGCUCAUAUGUGCCAAAAGAACCCCCUUUCAGAACACUGGAUAGAUAAGCUAGGAAGGGAAUCUUCUCAUCAGCCACAGCAUCAUCUUCAAAUGAUAAGUCUAAAGAACUGCUUAUAUCGUGGAAGCCAUUUUCAAGAAACUCAAAAAUUGUCUUCACCUGUCAGUUUAUUUAAUUCAGCAUCCAUUUAGUUUUCCUAUCUUCAGCUGCAAUGACAUCAACUUUGUUAUAAUAAAUGAAGUGCACACCUGAUUUGGUUGGCGAAGUUGACAGCUGUAUACUGAUAAAGCAUGAGAGAUUCGGCCACCAGCAUUUCCAUAGGCCCAGGCUGUACGAGCACAAAUAGGCUGAUCUCCAGAAAGCCCCAUAAAGAACUCAAAACGGUGUGGACUGUUCUUUUCAAUUUCAACUAAGGCUGAUAUAUCUGUAUCUGCAGCCUGUAACAAUGCACAUUUCAAGAGAACUGCAGAAGUUUGAAGGAUAAAUUCUUUUCCAUAAUUAGGGGUAUACUUGCCUGGAGAAUUUUGGUUUGCCAAAGCUUGUUAACAUGGAAACCACGGCGUUCAAACAAGUGCUUACAAACAGCUUGUCCUGGACGACCCCCCAUGUUGAAGAUCAUUAUCCCCAUAGGUUUAAUGACAGCUAUUCCUUCCUCCACUGCCCGGGCAAUUAGACCUAGGCCAAACUGAUCCUCAAGAAAACCCUGCAUAGAAAACAAAAGUUUACAUAUAAAUACUAUUAUGGUCUCUAAUGAUGACCGGAAACUGGAAUUACUAGAAAUCAGUUGACCAGUUGUCACAAAGCCAUAGUACAUUUCAUUAGUAAACAGUUUCCAUGUGUAACUAGAAAAACUAAUUAUGAUAAUAUCUAUGUAGCACUGGAUGCCUCUUAAGAUACAAAUUAGACAAUGCAUAACACACUAUCAAGGUUCCGUCCUAACCUGAAGAGCACAAUAAUUGCUCAACGAAUGUAGAAAUUCCUCACUUGCAUUCUCUGUAAUCAUUUUAGACAUAGCAUCUGGAUUUGGGUUAAGAAUCUGCAAGAACCCAAACAAGGAAAAUGAAUGAGGAGUCAAAUGAUUAUUCACAUGAGGAACCUUCAAAAGGGACAUUUGACAAACUAACUUUAUCUUAUUGUAAUUGUCGACAAUACCUGAGGUAUGCAUCCAACAAUUCGUUCUAGCUGAAUGUCAUUAUCUCUACAAUAAGAUAGCAGAUCCGAUUCAUGAAACUCUACCCUGUCCAGCAAACUUUUCUUCUCAGCAUCAUAGAUGGGUUGACCUUUUUCGUCCAAAGCAUUUAAGUACAAGUUUAUCCAUGACAUCUUCACUGCUCUAGGAUUGAUAUCAAGGCCGUACACCUGAAAAAGGUAGUUUCUUCAUCAUUCAGAGAAGCAGGAAAGGUUGAAACGUGAACAGAAUAAAGACUAAUAACAUGCAUGGUAAAGUAGGACAAACAAAAACCAAAACUACCUUUGAUGGCAACCACUUCUCAGCAAUGGCAAUGGAUAUCCAACCAUUUCCACAACCAAGCUCAGCAACUGACUUGUCCUUGAAGAUAGAAUCGGAAUGUCUGUUUAGUCCUUCAAAAAAGGUAAAAGACCAGUCUUCUGGAACAAAAAUACUGGGGAUAACCAUCAUCGUCAAUUUCUUCCUACCCUGGUGACCUGUAGUAGCCCAAUAACAGGUUCAGACCAGCUGAUUCAACCACCAUAGCAAGCAAACAAUUGUGCGGCCAUUAAUGAUUCUAUAAUGCCCCCACCCCCCGUUCGACCGCCCGAAACAGGCCGUAUGGAGUACAGCCAACAAGAAGCGUAAAUCCAUCCAUGAUUUCAGAUUAUCAUUCGGAAACCACAAUAUUCAAUUGCGAUAUCCCAUCGUAUGCUACAGUUUAUUUGUUCAGAACUGUCCUGUUAUACUGUAAUCUUAUGGCCAACUUAGAACUCAUUAAGAUUAAAUCGACAAAUGAAAAUGAACGAAAAAAAAAACUUGGACUAUAUUAUAAAAAUUGUGGUUGUCCAGUAAUUAAAAAUAGAAAAUUUGAAGUCCGCCGCUGGAGAAGGAAAAGUGACUUUGGUUUCCCAGAAACAAACCAAACAAGGAAUAGGAAUAUAGGAUUGGUUACUGAGAAAACGACGAGUAAAAGCAAAAAGAAGCCAAAUGCCAGAGUACCAGUUUUUCGCCACUACGAAAACGCACACAAAGCAAAAGGACAGUCAAAAGAACUGAGACAAACAAUUGCAGUGAGUAAUUGGAUAAUUCAAUUUUGGGUUGUUUUAUUAACACCUCAUAAUUUGUUGAAUACACCCACAAUUAAAAAUUUUCCCAAUAAUUCCAGUUUUACCAUUCUUUUUGUUAAAUCCACCCUACCUUCCCAAAAAAAAAAAAAAAAUCUCACAACCAACCACCCUAUCAAAGUAUGAAACUUCGGAUCAUCUGAACCUUUGGAGAGGCAAUAAGAGCAUUGCAUGUACCCUGUUUUCUAAGGAGCUUUUUCUGCAGGUUUCUAGAAAGUGUAUUAGGAGUUCAUUCCUAGCUAAUUGCUAUUGAUAAUGAUCUUGAAAUUAAAAUCAUAUCCUAUUAUCCAGGUUUCACUCUACUUCUUAUUUUGUACUGUUUCUUCUGAAUAAUAUUCAUAUCCUUCCUUGGAAAUUCCUGGUUGGACUUGGUAUAGUUCCCAAAUCGAAAAUUGAUAUGAAUAUCAUGCAAAAGAAAAAGAACAAAAUAAGUACAACGAUGAUUAUAUGUUGAGAAAAUGUAAACAGUAUAAAUAAAAGGCGAGGAUCUGAACAAUGGUGAUGGAUCGGGGAGUUUUAUUUUAUGCAAGUUUAAAUGAAGGGUAAAUUUGGAAUUAUAGAAGAAAAUUUUGAUAAUCGGGUGUUUCCAUCCAAUUGUGGGGUGUUAAUAGAAAAACCCUUCAAUUUUCCAUUUCCUCCGUUAUCUCGGUAACCAAACAGAAUCGAUACUGAAUGAGAGAGGGAGGGAGACCUUCAUACUGAUCGAAGAAGAUGUCUUCAAUCUGAAAAUGGUAGGUGCGAAAACAUUGAUCGCAGGACUCCUUGGAGGGGAAGCGGUUCUGGAGGUCCGUGAGGAAGAUCCGAGCUUGAGUUCGGGUUUUUGGAUCCUCGAGACGCUCCAGCACUGAUCUCAAGGCGGCGUAUGCGGCAUCGCCCGACUGCCUACACCGCUUCAAGAAGUCGUCCACCGAUUCCAACGAAGCCUCGUUCUUCGCCAUUCACUCACUCUGUCACUCACACAAUGAGUCAGGCAAGCCAAGUGAUGAGAGUUCUUGUUCUUCUUCUGUAGAUGAAGAGAGAGAGAGAGAGAGCGUGUGUGUAUGUGUGAAGAUAGAUAAAGAGCGAGACCGAGGAGGAGAGUGGGCUUUGGAAUUUGGUUGUUUAUUGUUAAAAGAAAAAAAAAAGCCAGGCAGCAAGGAGAAGGUUUGUUCCCUGCUUUUUCGUAUCCUUUUUAUUAUUAAUUCAUUUCUUUAAAAAAUAAUUUCUUAGGAGUGUAGUCAAAUUCGGAUUUGAAAGGAUUUUAAAAGACUUUAAAAUUCUAAUGUAGUCAAUUAAAAGAUUCUAAAGGAUUUUAGAAUCCAUUCAAAUCUAGGCGUAGUCAAUUAAAGGAUUUUAGAAUCCAUUCAAAUCUAGGCGUAGUCAAUUAAAGGAUUUUAGAAUCCUUUAAAAUCUAGGUGUAGUCAAUAAAAAGAUUUUAAAGGAUUUUAAAAUCCAUCCAAAUUUAAGUAUAUUAAAAAAUCGAACAUUGUUUCUCCAUUUAUAAUAAUUUGUUUUAGGGAAAAAUCGAACAUUGUUGUAGGCCUAUUUGACUAAAUUGUAUUUAAAAUAGAGAGGGAGUAGGGCCAACGGCAACAGAGAGAGAAGAGAGAGAUGUAAUUCCAGAUACACUAGGAAUUUAUUUAUAGUAGUAGGAUAAGUUAAAUAUUUCCCCUAAUAGGAUUACAACUCUAAUAGGAAUUUAACUACUAAAAGGAAUAUACAAAGAUACUCCUAGAUACACUAGGAUUUACAUAAUCACAUUCCUAAUCUAAUAGUACUGCAACACUCUCCAUUAAGUGUGUAAAUACUCAAAUAAAACGUCGCAUUAGAUCUUUAGCAGAUGAGGUAGAACGGUUGAUGAAGUCGUCGGCACAACGGGUGAAUGCGAGUCUCAAAUUUAAAAGAAAGUAUGCAUAGGUAGUAAAACUCACAAAACCUUGCUAUGGUAAAACCUAAGGUAGGUAAAAACCCAUAGAUUAAGGAGACAAGUGAGAAGUAUGCAUAAUGUCUAAAACAAACGUCUAACAAGACAAAAGUAGUGAACUCAAUGGAGUAUGAUCAUCCCAGAAUGGGUGUCUCAUUAAAACCUUGUUAGGUAGCAAAAACCUAGUGGGAAAAAUGCUCCUAAUUGUAGGAAAAAGAGUAUAUUAAGAUCAAGUGAAUAUGCUUCUGGAUACUCCCCUUGAGUUAGACAUAACUUUCAAAUAAGAGAACUACAAGCAAUUCAACUCAGACAAUUUACGCAUACCGAUUCCUUGGACGAGCUUCUAAAAAGUAGACUUGGGCAAUAACUUGGUAAAGAGAUCGACCAAGUUGUUUUGGGAACAUAUUUGCUUGACUUCAAUGUUAUGAUGUUAUUGUUGCUGGUGAGAAUAAAAGAACUUCAGCACUAUGUGCUUGGUGUUGUCUCCCUUGAUGUAUCCCUACUUUAACUGUUUGAUACAUGCUGCAUUGUCUUCAAAGAUUGUCAUAGGAAGAUCAACGACGGAAGUAAGACCACUAGUGCUUCGAAUAGAUUCCAUAACUGCUCUUAACCAAAAACAUUCCGCGAGGCUUCGUGCAAGGCGAGAAUCUUAGCAUGGUUCGAAGAAGUCGCAACUAGCGUUUGCUUGGUAGACCUCCAAGAUAUAGAGGUGUCUCCAACGGUAAAGACAUAACUUGUUUGAGAACGUGCCCUAUGUGGGUCAGACAGAUAACUAAAAUCUGUGUAACCAACAAGGGGGGAAUCAAACCAAUGACCGAGGGGGCGGCAACUUCUCUCGAGGAUUCAUGGGUGUAGAACAAGUCCAAAUUCGUCAAACCUUUGAGGUAGCGAAAAAUGUCUUUAACAUCGUUUCAGUGUCUGCGUGUAGGUGCGUUGCUGUAUCUAGCCAAAAGAUUAACAGCGAAGGAGAUGUCGGGUCUAGUGCAUUGAGCCAAGUACAAUAAAGCACCAAUUACACUUAGGUAUGGAACUUCUGGCUCCAAAAUCUCUUUCUCAUCAUUCUUGGGACGGAAUGGAUCUCUUUUAGCAUCUAGAGUCUGAACGACCAUAGGAGUACUUGAAGGUUUCGCUUUAUCCUCAUUAAAAUGUUGCAACACCUUUUGGGUAUAGUUCGAUUGAUGUACUAGGAUUCCAUCUGAACAAUGCUCGAUCUCCAGGCCGAGACAAUAUCGAGUUUUUCCAAGAUCUUUCAUCUUAAAUUCCGAUUUUAAGUGAAUGACAAUUUCCUCAAGCUCUCCAGGAGUCCCGAUAAGGUUUAUGUCAUCGACAUAAACUGCAAUGAUCGCAAAUGUGGAAUGUGACUUCUUAAUGAACCUUAUCGGAAUUUGAGGAACUUACUAUUGCAACAUUUUAGAUGGUUAUGUGAACAACGAACUAUUGCAACAUUAAUAAGUUAGGGUCAUCGACAUAAACUGCAAUAUUUGAUAGGUUUAUGUCCCGAUAAGUAACUUACCUGCUCAUCCCGUAUGAUUAUUUUAGCAUUUCACAAUAGCACAACAAUUCUUGCAACAUUAAUUAAUCAUAGUUGUAAAAUAUAAUCUUGGUAUCUCAGGCAUACAUGUGAACCUAUAGGGUUCAGAAAUAAUCUCCUAAAUUCCGUCAUUUUGCUACUUCAUGUAAUUUUAUCUAAGCAAAGCAUACGUAGUAAAUUCUUUUCAAAGUAUAACUAGAAACUAGCAAGUAUGCGUAUACUUAUAAAAAGAAAUGACCCACUCACCUAGAGUCCGCGCUACAACUCCCUAGCACGAUUAUCGAAGCGUCACGAACGAUCGUCGCCUAGAACAAUUAUCAAAUCAUGUAUCAGAAACACGUAAGUUGCAUAACACAACCCUAAGGACGUUCUAAAAUGAUUUGAAACUCAUUGACCAAAAGUCAACCGUCGGUCAAAGGUCGACAAUAGGGUCUAUAACCAUACGUAACUCGAUCCGGAAUAUCUGCAUCUUGGAUUUCUAAUUCGUAACUUCCCAAGAGUUUCAAUAAGCUUCUAAAACAACAUCAUAAAGUUUUAGAACGGCCCAACAGUCGGAUCUCCGCCAAUUGCCAAAAUUAAGUGGCGGUCGACGUUUUAUUUUAUGAACUUACAAAUUCAAUUCGGGAAGAUCCGUACGUCGGAUUCCCGAUAUGUAAGUUCCUAUGGUCCUCAAAUAUUACAUACUAUAACAUAUUAAAGUUUGGUGACGAUCCGACCAUUGGAUCGUCAAUUCAUACAAUAAUCAAGUGACGACCAACUAGGUGGUCACUUACGAAACUAUGCUAAAACAUCAAAAUUUCACAAAACGGGUGUCAAAUAUGGAAUCAAGGCAUCAAAAUUAGCUUAGGUUGGUAAGGGGUGCUUCGGCCCACGUGACGGUGAUAAGCUCAUAUUUAUAUGUAUUUUACAUCAAAUUCACUCGUCUUUUCUUAGUUAGUUCCUUAUAUUUUUGAGCUAUUUACUUUGUUUUUGUGUUUUGUAGGAUUUUUCAAGCAAAGCAAAGAAAAAUAGCACAAGUGAGAUUUUAAGUAACAAAUUCGUCAAAACUGCAUGUGCGGAUCAACUGACUUUGGAAGCAAGUUGCGAACAACUCAGAAUGAAUUAGAGAAUGAACCCUAUAUGCUUGGAAAGCUACGGAUGUCUAUUUUCUGGAGCAUUUCUCGAAUUGUUAUUAUUAUUUUUCUAGAAGAAGUUAUGGCCGUUUUAACACUGAAAAGGUUCACAAGAGGCUGAGCAGUUUGUAACUGCAAUGAAAGCAAUAAACCCAAUAAAUCUAGUAGCCAAAAUUGAUGCAGCCAAGAACAAGUCAGCUGAAACCUAUUCAAAUAUCAGAGGAAAUGGAAAUAAAGAUAAGGAUUAAGUGGAGGAUUAAUUGACAUAAAGGCUAUGGUAGGUGAAAUACUAAGAGGCUAGUAAGGAGUUAAAAUUGUAUUUCCAUUUCCUCUCUUUGAUGACAAUAAAAUGGCUAUUAAGUUUGGUGAGUUAUGGGAGAGGUAAACAGUGCCCAGCGGCAAGGUGGGAUGGGAAGGAUAGAAAAAAAUAGAACAAAAAAAUAAAAGGGAAAAAAAGGGGAGCUGACGAAAAAGCAAUAAAGGAGGAAUGAGGAAAUCUUGGCAUUCUCUUCUUUCGGUUUUAUCUUCUCAAACUCAUGUCUUUCUUUUGGUUUAAUUUGAGAAUUAUGUGUAACUAAAUUUUUAGUAGUUAGGGGCUUUGAAGCCCCUAAUAUGAUUGCAAGUUUGUUAUGACAUUUCGUUUGAAUUACUUUUAUGAAUGGAUGAAAAUUGGUUCACUACUUAUGUUAGUGAUGAAUUCUUUAUGUGUUUUCAACAGAUGCGUACUUAGUAAGCAUAUCUAGGAUUCUAAUGCUAUAAAUAUGUGUGCGCCUGCCCUUGUCGAAUGAGGACCUACAUAUGUUGUAGAGUAGUACUUGUUAAUUACGAUUAACAUGUGAACCAAUUUCUAGGAUAAGUAAGACAAUGCUAGUACUUAUGAUGCCUUGUGAUGAUUCAAACUCUUUUUGUUCUUAAUGAUUUAUACUUGUUAAAUCUAUGAACAGGUCAUUCCAGAUUGCAUGUUAGGGACUAAGUUAAGUUGAAAACAUCAUUCUCUUAACAUACUACAUAAUAAAGAGUAAUAAGUUGAGUUCUAACAUUGAGCCAACUUGAGCAUCAUCAUCUGGAAAUAAAAGGAAUUUGAAUGAAACAUAACAUGCUUGCAUGAUUAUUUAGUGGUGGAUAGCAAUUCCCCUAACUCGUUUUUCUUAAUUUGUGAACUAUUUAAAAUCUGUUUCUGUCUUGUUUUUGUUCGAAAUAAUUUAAAUAGCAAAUCAACUCCAAAAAUCCCAAAUAUUUGUGUGAGUGUAGCUUUGUGUGUCUAGUGUCUGCAUAUAAAAUUUCGUAGACUUUAGAUAAGUGUAAGUCGGUCUAAUAAUUAUUUUUCAGUGGCUGGUCACUAGUAGUGACAGCAACCCAAUUUUUGUGACAUUUUAAGUAGUUAGAUAAAACAAUCUUCUGCGGGAAAAACCCUUAUUUUCAUAUGCUACAAUUGAGAAAUAUUAGUGUUAAUAAGGAAAAUCAAUAGGACAUUUGUGUGCUACUUUGUGGUGUGCUUUUAAUCCUAUCAGGUGGUCGGCUCCCCCCACUUGUUGAAAAAUUUCAACUAUUUCUAAGGUGGGUGUUAUUCGAUUCGACUUCCACGGUGUUCCAACACCCCUACUACCAGUUGGGUCUUAUUCUUUGGUCCAAGGGGAGUUGAUUAAGGGUGGUGAUGGGUGGUGAAACUCACCAGAACAGAGGAAUCACCGUUGAACACCUCCGGUGCUCCGGUGAUGUUCUUUGCGAUUUUGGACCUAAAACUCUUCAAUCUUGGGCGGAGAUGGAAGAUGGGAGAUUGUGGAAAAAGUUGUAGGUAGUGGAUGGUGGAUUUUUAACGGAAAAAAUAGCGAAAAUCAUCGGAGAUUGAUCGGUUUGGGUGUGCGGGUGCACUGCCCAACGGGAAGACUGGGAAGGUUUUUUUUUUUUUCUUCUUCUUCCCUCUUCCUGAUUAGUUGCAUCUCCUUCCUCCUAAUUGGUCUUCUUUUCCCCUUAUUUUCUGAUUGGUCCCAUACCAUUUCUGAUUGGCCCAUAAAACUCUUACCUGAUUGGCCUCAUUCCCACAACGUGGGUGUUUGAUUAAUUUAAAAACUAAAGUUUAGUAAAACGACUUCAAAUGUCUGUAACUAUACCGUUAUAAUCCGAACUCGCAAACGGCUUUCGUCUAUGCACUCAUAGUGACGAGUACUACGAGGAUACGCUAAAAGAAUAAGUCAUAUGUCUCUCUAACCGACGGUCAAUGAAAUUCAAAACUUUGCCUCUAGGGCAUUUUCGUCAAGUCACGUUUUUUUUUAAAUUAAAAAAAUUGUAAAUGUAGGGAUGGGUUGUCACAAAUCGAGAUAGUGUUCCGUGGUUUAGAACUAUUUGAACCAGUCAAUGGAAGUCCUUUUAGAAUUUUCAUGUAGAAUUUCGUAUCUAGAUCCCUAUAUAGAUACGCGGUUACCACGUCCAUAAGCUGCAUAUUCAAUUUUUCGGAAAGUACCAAACUAAUAAGGUAGCAAAACGUUAUGACGUCCAUUACGGGGGAAUAUGUAUCCUUGUAAUCAAUCCUAGGGCAUUGAGAGAAACCUUGCACUACGAGGCGUGCUUUGUAUCGCAUUAUUUCAUUCCUCUCAUUACGCUUCCUUAUAAAAACCCAUUUGUAGCCCAUGGGCAUCACAUGUGGUGGAGUAGGAGCUACAUACGUAAACACCUUACGUUUCGCAAGCGAAUCGAGUUCGACCUGGAUUGCUUAUUUUUAGUUUAACUAGUCUAUUCUACGUCGACAUUCAUCAACGAAGCGUGGUUCAAUGUCAUCGCUAAGCAUGAUGUUAGAAGCAACCGUAUAAGCGAAUGCAUAAUUGACAAUCAUCUUAUUUCAAUCUUAAACCUCGUAAAAAACUGCUUAAUGGACCGAAAUCUCACAAUUCUGGGAGGUCUGGUUGUCUCAUUUAAGACAUCAUUGUGAUAUACAAUAACCUCAUAUGUUGGAACAGAGAAGUAAUCAAUGGUCGGAUUCAGACUAGGUUCACUAGUUUGUGUUGUUUUCCUCUUUCGAGGUUGUGAAUCCUUUGAAUCAGGGGGUAUGCCACGCUUCAGGGUAGGAACAGAAGAUUGGUUAACCACCAGUGUACGAGGCUACGUGGGAGGUGUGGCCGCCCCAUCCUCGGGGAUGGCCUGACCUUUCAAGGCGGUGGUACGACGUACGUUAAUUACGUCUAUCCUUGCAGGUGCGUUUACAUCAGGCAUAUGUGAUAUCGUCACCUUAGCUAGAUCAGUAAAAACAUCUGGCAUGCUUUGGGCGAUGCUUUAAAGAUCUAGAAUACGUCACACUUCAGUUUCAGACUAAGGGGUGCAGGGAGCUAAAUGAGACAUAGUGGGAGUAAUCCACGACAAUUCGCGGCGUUCUAUAAGACUGUCUCAUCGAAGUGACAAUCUUUAAAACAUGCAGUAAAGAGAUCUCAUGUCAAGGGUUCUAAGUAACGAAUAAUGGAUGGUGAAUCAUAACCGACAUAGAUUCUUAUUUUUCUUUGAUGACUCAUUUUGGUACGUAAUGAUGGCUCUAUUAACACAUAGAUUGCACAUCCAAACACACAUAAAUGCGAGACGUCAGACUUGUAUCCAGUAGCCAACUGUAAUAGUGAAUGAGGUUGGGUAACGGUGGGCCUCAGGCAGACCAACAUGGCUGAAUGCAAAAUUGCAUGGCCCCAGGUAGAUACCAGUAAGUUGGUUCGCAUAACCAAAGUUCGAGCUGUCGUUUGAAUGCGCUUUAUGAAAGCUUAUGUCAGACCACUUUGGGUGUGAACAUGGGGUACAAGAUGUUCAACUUCAAUCCCAAUAGAUGUAAUAAUCGUCAAAAGUUUGUGACGUAAACUCUCCAACAUUAUCCAGUUGAAUCGACUUGAUCGGAUAAUCAGGGUGAUGGGCCCUAAGCUUAAUAAUUCAUGCUAAGAGUUUCGCAAAUACAACAUUACGUAUGGACAAUAAGCAGACAUGUGACCAUCACGUUGAUGCAUCAACCAACACCAUGAAGUAUCUAAAUGGUCUGCACGUUGGUUGGAUAGGUCCACAAAUAUCCCUUUGAAUCAUCUGAAGAAACUAGGGGGGAUCAUGUAUAAUCUUUGUAAGUGAGGGUUGAAUGUUCAACUUUCCCAAUGAGCAUGCUUUGCAAAGCGGAUGGUUGAGAUAAGAUUUUAAGUGAUACCCAUGAGAUACUUUGAGGAUACGGUGCAUCAUAUCUCGUUUGGGGUGUCUUAUUUGAUUUUGCCAAAGCAUAAGAGUGCUCUAGAACCCAGCCAUAGGGUUGGCCACGUGAUGGGUCUCAAUGGCUCGAAUGGUUGUUAUGUACAACCCACUCGGGAGACAUUCUGGCUUCUCAUGAAUACGCUUUCAGCCAUGUUCGUAAAAAGUGAUACAAAGAAAUUCAGAACCAUUCUCUUCAGUGGUUUCAACAUGAUAUUGAUUAUCUCGAAUAUCUCUAAAAUUCAACAACAUUAUGUCGGAACGUGGAGAAUAGAGUGUCUCUUUAAUGGUUAAUUCAAUAUCAUUGAACAACAUAAUACGGGCCUUUCCGUAUCCUUCUAUCAGGUUGGAUGGGCCUGAGAGGGUUGUCAGAGGUGCAUCCUUAGGUAAGAAGUUAGUUAAAUAAUGUUUCUCAUGCAAUAUGAUGUGCAUGGUGGCAUUAUCAGUCAGACAACUAACUUCCUCACUAGUCAUACCUAGAAAUAAAUUAAUUGAAUCAAUCACAUGUAUAAAUAUAAUUCCAUUCAUUCAAUUAAUCAAUUCGAGAAAUAAUGUCCAUAAUAAUAAUAAUUCAUAAUUCAAAACAAACCAAUCCGAACAAAUAAUUCCAAAGACUUAGAAAAAUUGUCCAAAAAUUAAACCAUAAACCUAAAAUUUUGGGGGGGGGGGGGGGGGGGGAGGCCACUAGGGGUAUAAAAACACCCUAACAUGUCUCAGAAAAAUGAAACUUUAUUCUUCCAUAGGAGCGGAUGCCUCCUUAAAUUUUGAAACCUCCAAAGUUUUGAUAGCAUCUUUGGGAUGUUCUACAUGCACAAAGUUAGUCUCACGACGGGAAUGAUACUUGGCAAUGGCCUCGAGAGUAGCUCGGUAUAUGUGGAAUGAUCAUUUAAUCCACAGCGGUAGCACAUGUCCAUUUCAUUGGAAGGCGAUUGAAUGGUAAUUUUUCCCUUGUUCUUGAAGUUUGGGGCCUUAGGGGCAAGGGGUUAGCGCUUCUAGGUCAAAUUUCCUCCAUAGGGUGGGCCUUUGUUCUAUGGACCUUCCCACCCUUUUUCACGACCACGACGAGGUUUCCGUUGAUUAUGGCUGCUAGAAUUAGUUGCAUGCGCUUCAGGUGGAGCAUUCGAGCUAGUGGGUCGGGCUUGAUGAUUCUUCAUUAAAAGCUAAUUCUGCUUUUUAGCGAGAAGUAAAACAGAUAUCAAAUCUGAUGUGAAAAUUAACUUAACACAUAAAUUAAACCCUCUUGUUGACAAUUGUAGUAUGGAUCAGUAGGGAUCGUUCUGGACCGGGGAUUAGGAAAGAUUGCUAAUCUAUUCUAAACUGACUCAAAAACAUUAAACUAGGCUUGAAAACACUUAACUAGACUUAAAGAACUCAAAACUAACUAAAAUGACUCAAAACAGCUUAAAAUAACUAAAUAGACUCAAACUAGACACUAGGAAGUGAUUUGGACGAAAAUUGAUUUAAACUUGACUCAAAACACUUAAAAAUACAAACUAGGACAGAUUCUAACUAAUUUGAUACACUAAAGUAAAAGGGAUUGAGUUUUGGAUGAAUUUUAAGUAAAACAAAACAGAAACUAGAACUAGACAGAUUUUGGACGAAUUUGGUGAAUUAAAUGGAUGAUGGACUAGUUAGAGGGUCAUUCUCCACACAUGACACACUUGCUUAUGAAACGAUUUCCAGUUGCUUUUCAAUAAACUAUGAAGCUCAACAUCCCAGAUUAACCGUGAUGCACUAAUUAACCCUUAGAUUUUCCUUUACUCAUUGAAUUGGAUGAAUGCAUGCGACAACCCAAAUCAUUCUCCAAAGGUCCCCUACAUGAAUGCAUAAUAGAGAUACAAUCAUAGAUCAUUACGUUCCAUGAAAAUCAUAAGUGUUGACAAGACAUUUGUAAUUAUGAAAGCAUGAUACGUUUGCCAAGAAUUCAAUUAACGUGAUUGUGACUAGCAACUUUCACUACUCAUGAAUAUAAAUUUGUAAUGAUUAGGUGAAACUCAUUUAUAUUCUAGCAUCAAAUUCAUGCAUGAAAACUAAGUAUGCAUCCUUAAUUAACAUACAAAAAUCAGUUUUGAAGAAACAGUUAAUUGAAUUGCAUUCACAACUUAUCCAAUCACAAUUGGAAGAAAUCAAUUCAUAACUUAAGGAUGUUCAUGGCUUCGAACUUCCCCCUAGCUAAGUAGGGGUUUAGCCACUCAUAGUUACAGCAAAUCAGAGAAUAAUAAAGUAGACAUUGAAAACAAGAACAAAUAAUAAAGUAGACAUUGAAAACAAGAACGAAGUACACCUAAAACGCUCCAAUCCUCAAGCUUGAAACGUUAAAAGCCAUUCUUCUUCCCCACCUUGCUGCGGCACAAGUGACUAUGGAUGUUUAUGGCUGAAUGAAGGGGUAAGAGAUGUGUAAAGGUUGAAUGGGGCUGCGCCAAGGAAAAGAGAAUGGCUGGAAUUGUGUAUGGGAGGGAAUGGAUGUGUAGAAUGGUGAAUGAUCAAUGGGUUUGCAUGGCGAUGGUAUUUAUAGGGAGAUGAUGGAUUAGGUGAGUUAGGUGAGUGCACAUUCCAUUCAAUUUAGGUAGGUUAGGUGAGUGCACCAUCCAUCAAUUUAGGUGAGUUAAAUGAGUGCACCAACAACUCAAAUUCUGGUAGGUUAAAUGAGUGCACCAACCAUUCUUGCAACUUGCAUUUGUUUCUCCAAAUUUGUAGCAUGUUCCUAGCCUCAUUUAAGCACCAAAAAUGUCCAUCUAACUUGAUCCACAUGCAUGCACUCCAAUUCAGCCCAAAACUGCACCAAAAUGCAUUUUUUGCCAACUUUGUCAUUCGAACCUACAAACACACAAAAAUAGCUUAAAUAACUAUAAUAAGUAGAAACUAACUAAAUAAAUGCCAAGAAACAAGCUAACUAAGUCGCAUAAAUAUACUCCUAUCAAAUUCCCACACACUUAGCUUUUGCUAGUCCUCGAGCAAAAUGAAACAAACAAAAGAAACAAAACACAAUCUAAACCUUCCAACAAUUGUCUUAGGGAUUUCCAAAGAACAUGACAUGCUAAAAAUCAUUACUUACAUAGAUUUUAGUCAUCCUUACACUCUAGCACAUACUUAAUCACAGUCGCCACUUACUCGCUCACAAUCAAUCAAUACAAUGGUUUGAAUGUAGUAACAUGCCUUAGAGAAUUCACUCAAUUCCUUACAAGAUACUCUCUAUUUUCACACAGAUUUUCUGACUACACACCCUACACUAGUUAUAUGUGAGAAGAUUGAUACAAACAUGUUGACUAGCACUCACAUAUGUUUGUAACAAAGAAAGCAUUUUCUGGAGUUAUUAAGCAUGUUUAGAUAUGAUCUCAUGAAUGGAAUGCUACUACUUAGAUGCGAGAACCAGGGAUACCAUAUGCUCAUAUCAAUUCCAAACUCCACAUAUUGAAACACACAACACCUAAGAUUGAAGUUAAGGGGUUGUAACGGGGCUUAAGGGUAUUGGCUAACAAAGAAGGGUAAGGAUAACAACCGUUCUUAAAACAAUAGCAAGCAAAGUACUGAAAUUGACACUUAGAAUUCACUUUAGAAUGCAGCCACUAAAUUUAGAUUUUUUUUCUUCUAAUUUUUAUUAUUUUUUUAAAUUUUUUAUAAUCACGAAUUUUUCUUUUUCUUUACCCAUGCCCCUUUUUAGACUUUGGCGCACACACACACAAUAAUCCCUUCCCCCACACUUGCUUUUCUGCAUCACUUGGAUCAAAAGGAAUUCCACCUAAGUUAUGCUCCACUAUGCUUCAAGAACAAGGGUAUGGAUGGUCCUAUUCUAGGUUUGGUAGGGAAUAUGUGGGUUAACAAAUAACAUAGGCUAAACGAGGCUCAACGGGUUAAAACCUAAACACAAUGCACAGAGGGUCGGCUUUUUGGCUCUUGGUUCACUAAACAACUCCAUCUUGUUCAUGUGUUAUGCAAAUCAAUAUCAUGCUUUGAAUGUAAUGGGCAUGAGUUAUAGUAUUUGGAACUAAAUGAUGAAACGCCUUCUAAGUAGCAACCAAGCAAAGUAUAAUGAAAUCAUGCAACGACUUUAGAAAACAAGAAAUCACAGAUUAAUAACUCUCCAAAGAACGUUUAGGCUCAAGUCUCCCAAGGUUGUAGCAUUAAUUUGAGUUCUUUCCUUCAAACAUGUUACAAAAACUAAUUUUUUUCUUUGUAAUUAAAUGUGAAUUCAUAACAACAACGACAACCAAGCAUAAACCAAAGGUAUAUCAAACUUCCAUCCAUAUUUACAACUUUCAUAACAGUCAUGCAAUUAAAAAUCAAAUCCUCAUCAUUGUGUUGGAAGGUAUCCUAAGACACAAACAACACACAAAAACAACUCUUUCUGGUUUUUUUAAAACAAUUUUUCAAAUUUUUAUCAAAUUUUCGGAUUUUUAUGUCAAAACACACUAAAAUGCUUCAAAACACACUACAAACACUUAAAAACAGUGAAAAACAACAUUGUAAGUGAUAGGUGAAUAAAACCCACGAAAAUCAUUCAAAACAGCUUGUUUACCCCCCCACACUUACACCAAACAUUGUCCCCAAUGUUUCAAACAUAGACUUACACUCAAACAAGCAAACAGCAUAACUAAUUAAACAUGACAAGCAUGGCAAAGUAAAAACAAGAAAGAGUAGAGUUUAGGAAUGCAAAUCUGGUUAUGAAGGUAGAUGAUCUUUGGCUUCGGUAGUGAAUGAAUUGGCACGUAUUUUGUCAUGCUUGUUGACUUUCCACAGCUUUGAUCUUGAACUGGAUUGGAAUUCUGAGCAAGGAAUAGGAGAGUUCCUUGGUGGUGGUGAUUUGAUGGCAUUGUACGGCGAGACUUUGCUCUUUGGCGACGGUGCCAUCAAUAUGUUGUUGAAGCUUAUCGAGUUCUUGGAUUUAACUCAGACUCUUUCUGCUGGGUUGAUUGAUUAUGCAGGCUACAUUCUUCUCUGCUUGUUUCUUUUGCACGGCAGGCAGACACGAGGUAGAGGUGAUGGUCUGUUUCUUUGUUCAAUCUUUCCAAGCGCCGACCGAUUCCUUUCUUUCUCCUUGUCCCGUAGGCAAGAGCAAGGGUAAAGGAAAAACAUGCCAUGAGAUAUCUUUGCCUUCAACUCUGAUGAUAUGAGGUACAUUUGCUUUUUUUGAAGAAGUAUCUUUCCACAGGUUUAUUCUUGAACUGGGCUAGGGAGUUUCUUAGCAAUUCUCAUUGUCUCGCAGGUGAGAACAAAGACAAGGAAAAAGACAGGGAGAAAACAUGAUAUAAAAUACUCUUGCUUUCAACCUUCAUGAUACGAAAUAGUUUUGCUUUUGAUAACUUGUUUGCAGAGGUACUCCAGGGGAUGAUGAACAUUAAGUAACUUGAGAGGCUUCGUUGGGAAUACAUUCUCGGAGAUGAAGAAAGGUUGCGUAAGUCUGCCUUGCUAUGGAGGGUGAAGGUUGACAUUUAUAGGAAUUUCUUCAUAACCGGUAGAGGUACUAUUCUUUUACUCUUGUCGGCAACCGUUGGGUGAUUGAACAGUAAGAUUCACGUGCUUACUACUUUGUCAGAAAUCUUUGACAAAGUUGCCCAUAAUUUCCGCAAAAUUGAGGUUGCAUGUGACAGGUGUUGACAAGUCUAGAUCGGCCCGUGGUUUCUGAGUAGGCCCAACUUUUGAGAAAGCAGACGCUUUUUCGAUUUCUAAGCAGGCCUUUUCGAUUUCUGAUUUUUAUAAAGGCACGCAUUACGUUCCAAAGCCCACUUGAAUUGCCGCAUGUAGAAGCUCCAUUCUUGCACUUCUGAGAUCUUGACUUGAAUGUCGGGGAAGAUAUUAACAUGUCUUCUCCAGACAACAUUUAGCAUUUGUCAUUCUUAUCUUCCAAUGGUCCUCUUAUAGUUGGGGACUUUGUGAUGAAGAACGAUACAAUGGCUAUGGUGGUUGCUAGAAAUCUUCUCACUCCAAGAGACAGUAUGAUGCUUUCCAAGUGGUCCGAUGAGCUGGAAGUUCAGGACUUUCUGGCCUUCAGCGUCCAAUGUGCAGGCUCAGUAUCAAACUUGGGCCAACACAUUCUUGCUCGAUCCCGUCAGGUUGAGUCUUUGAUGGCUAGGGUGGCUAGUUUUCGGUAAAAGAUCAGAGGGCUCAGGCACGAGAAUAAAGAGUAGCACAUGCUCGCAACUAGUUACUCAAUGAGUAUGAAGAGGAAGCUUGACCAGCUGCAGGAGUCUGAAGUUCGGGUUCAGAGUGAUCAUCAAAAGUUUGUGGCCUUACUCCAGAGGCAACUUUUGCCUUUAUCAUCUACAUUUCACCAAGUGUUGAGGCUCCGGAAAAUCAAACUCUAGCGCUUCGUCUUUCUGGAGCUUCAUCGAGUGCUGAGGCACCUUUUGACCAAUGAAGGCUCUUUCCUGUUUGCACAUUCUUGUACUUUUCUUCCUAAUGUUCCUUUCCCACGAAAAUAAAUGUAAAAACAUCUUGUUUAGCUGACAAUGUUUCAAACAUAAACCCACAUAAAAACAACCAAACAAGCAACAAAUAAACAUGGAAAGAUAAGGGCAGCAAAAAGAAAGGUUGAAAGAAAGCAAAUAUGGAUUUAGAGCUGAAUCUAGAUGCUCUUUAUUGACAUGGGUUGCCUCAUACGAAGCGCUUGCUUUAAUAUCAUACAGCCGGACGAAUACCAUCCUUCAAGCCUCCUUGGAGCCCACGGCAUAGAGGGAUAGUUCCUCCACUACAUGCUCUUCAAACAAGUCGUAAUAGGGCUUCAAACGAUGCCCAUUCACCUUGAAUUCGUGGCCGGUUUUCAAGCUUUGAACUUGGACUGCACCAUAAGGAAAAACAUUAGUAACAACAAAAGGUCCAAUCUACUUAGAACGUAACUUACUGGGAAAUAACCGAAGUUGAGAAUCAAAGAGGAGCAUUUUCUGCCCCUUGGAGAAUGUCUUUGUACAAAGCAUCUUAUCAUGAUAUGCCUUGGUCUUGUCCUUGUAAAUGCGAGCGUUCUCGUAAGCCUUGUGCCUAAUCUCCUCGAGUUCAUUUAAUUGGAGCUUUCUAUGCAACCCAGCUACAUCUAUAUUCAUGUUGAAGGUCUUCACAGGCCAAUGUGCCUUGUGUUCUAACUCUACGGGCAAAUGACAUGGCUUACCAUAGAUGAGCUGAAAAGGUGACAUGCCAAGGGGAGUUUUGUAGGCCGUACAAUAAGCCCACAAUGCAUCGUCCAAGUGCAAGCUCUAAUCCCUCUUUGUUGGCCCCACACUUUUCUCUAGAAUCUACUUGAUCUCCUAAUUUAAAACAUCGGCUUGCCCAUUGGUUUGAGGAUGAUAAGGUGUUGAAACCUUAUGCGUAACAUUAUACUUCUUGAGCAAAACCUCAAUGGUUCGAUUACAAAAGUGGGAACCUCCAUCACUAAUGAGAACUCUAGGCAUUUCAAACUUAGCAAAAAUGUUAGUUUUCACAAAAUCUGCAACCACCUUAGAAUCAUUAGUACGGGUGGCUUUUACUUCCACCCAUUUCGAAACAUAAUCAACAGUUAGCAAGAUAUAAGUGAAACCAUAAGAUGGAGGGAAAUGACCCAUGAAAUCAAUACCCCAAACGUAAAAAAUUUCAACAAAUGAUAGGGGUUGUUGCGGCAUUUGAUCUUUGGUACCUAUAUUUCCCAUUUUUUAGCUACGAUCACAGGUUAGACAAAAAGUUCUAGCAUCUUUAAACAAAGUGGGCCAAUAAAAUCCACAUUCAAGAACCUUUAAUGCCGUUCUUUGGGUACCAAAAUGUCCACCACAAGCAUAAGUGUGACAGAAUCUUAGAAUCAAAUGAAAUUCAUAAUCAUGCACACAUCUACACAAAAUCUGGUCAGAACAAUAUUUCCACAAAUAGGGAUCAUCCCAAACAUAGAAUCGUGCAUCUUUUUGAAGUUUAUCACAUUGGUGCUUGGUGAGAGUGCUUGGAACUUGUUUAGUCACUAAGUAAUUCACUAAAUCGGCAUACCAAGGUUCACUUACCUCAAUGGACAGCAGCUGCUCAUUGGGAAAAGAUUCUGGGAUAGGCACGGCAUGCUCAUCAUGGAUUAUUCGGCUUAGGUGGUCAGCCACCACAUUCUCACUUCAUUUCUUGUCUCGGAUUUCGAUGUCAAACUCUUGAAGAAGAAGCAUCCAACGAAUAAGCCUAGGUCUUGCUUCCUUCUUCGUUAGUAAGUACUUCAAAGCUGCAUGAUCAGAGUAAACAAUCACUUUAGUGCCAAUGAAAUAAGACCAAAACUUAUCUAAAGCAAAGACAACAGCAAGAAGUUCUUUUUCCAUUGUGGAGUAGUGCAAUUGGGCAUCAUUGAGAGUUCGAGAGACGUAGUAUAUGACAUGCGGCUGCUUGCCUUUUCUUUGCCCCAAAACAGCGCCUAGUGCAUAGUCGGAUGCAUCGCACAUAAGCUUGAAAGGAAGGAUCCAAUCAGGAGGAACAAUGAUAGGAGCUGAAGUUAGCUUCUCCUUAAGUUGCUUGAAUGCCAAUUCACAUUCCUCAUCAAACUUGAAGGGCACAUCUUUCUGAAGCAAUCGGCAAAGGGGGUUGGAAAUCUUGGAAAAAUCCUUGAUGAAGCGAUGGCUAAGAAAAGAACGAACCUCUCUAACCGAAGUAGGAGAGGGUAAGUGACGUACAAGGUCUAUUUUUGAUUUAUCUACUUCAAUUCCUUUUUCUAAAACGAUAUGGUCUAAAACUAUACCUUGUUUAACCAUAAAAUGACAUUUUUCCCAAUUCAAAACAAGGUUAGUUUCAACACAUCGUUUCAAGAUCAAGGUCGGAUGAUCCAAACAAUUAUCAAAAGAAUCCCCAAACACACUGAAAUCAUCCAUAAAUACCUCAAUAAUCUUCUCAACAAAAUCAGAGAAUAUACUUAUCAUACAUCUUUGGAAAGUGGCAGGUGCGUUGCAUAAGCCGAAUGGAUCGAUUUUGUAGCCUUCGAGCCUUCUGUUAAUUUAUGUAGGUCCGCGACGUUGAGUAGAUCGAUUUUGUAUAUUUAAACCCUAGGUUUGAGCAAACUAUAAGGGGUUUUAUUUAAGUUUUCAUAUAUGAGUUAUUAAUUAAUUUAAAAUAGUUAUUUCACAUAUAGGGGAAACGUAUCCUGAUGACGUAUGGGGUCAAACAAGGCUCGAAGGCUACGAUCUGACGAUGUAUUUGUGAAUGUGCAGUUUGUUUUUAUAUCUAUACAUAGUUAUAGUUUCCAUAAAUGCGUAUUUACUCCAUUUUUUACGCUUAUAUUGCCAAGUAUCUUUAUUGUGAUAUUAAAUAUGAUAAAUGCUGCCAUAUGGUUGGGAUAUUACUGUUAUGACAUUCAUGCAUAUUUAUACAUGCUCAUCAUUGCUGCACCCCGGUAUUAGUACUCGUCCCAGGGCUAGGGCCAGUCCUUUACGUGUAUGUUCACAUCCACACCGUUCACUCGCCUUGGAUCCAAGUUAGGUGUCAGUCCUGUCGUACAUAUUGCAUUAGGCAAUUCCGACUCGUAUGUGACUGUGCUUCAGCACCAGCCUUCACGUGAACGUAGUAUUAGAGCGUAUUGAUUACACACAGUCCUGUUCGUGUCAGAAAUAAUUAUUACGAACUUGUGUGUCAGCUUAGAUGGAUGAGCACUUGUUUAUACUUGAUUAUCACAUGAUUAUAUUACUGCGGCAUUUGAUAUAUCAUGACUUGACAUAUUUCUGGUUAUAUUGCUAUUGUACUUUUGUUUACAUACUUACAUAGUAUGUUUUACGGAAACUAUACUUGUUUUACAGCGAGGGGUUACUAUGUUUGAAACUAAAGGUUUUUCUUACAAACGUUGUUUUGCUGACCCACUCAACUUUGUUUUUCGCCCCUUCAGGACCUAGGUAGUUGUACUCUUUGUGGCAUUCGAGGAACUUUCGGCAGUUCUGAUAUUAGCUUUGUUUAAAAGUAUGAACUUAAUAAGUGUACUUUAAUUACUUUGACUACUUUAUUGUAGUUGUACUGGCUAUUAUGCUCUAAAUAAUUGCAGUGGGUUAUUCCCACAACUGCGCACUCUUUCACUGUUUAGUCUAAAUUAGUCAUAGUUUGGUUUUAAUUCAGUCACUUUUUCACAUCGCUUACUCUUAUGGUUACGUCAUAAUCCGGUGAUGGCCAACAUGCUUCGACCUUCGAGGUUAGGUUGUGUCAUCCUCUGUGAGGUACUCAGUCUGCAGUGCAUCAUGGAUGUAUCUUUGGAUGAAGAUCAUAGCAGUAGCUUUUUGAGCUUCGUCGACGGGUUCAUCGUCGAUAGGUUUCUCGAUAGUAACUUUAAGACUCUUUGCAGUAAGAUGGAACUUCACGUCUUGAAACCACUUCAGGUAGUUUCUUCCAGAAACUUCCAGAGUGGUGAAAUCGAGCUUAUUCAAGUUUGACAUGCCCCUAAAACAGAGGGUACACCCAAAUGUGGUUAGUCGUAUGGAAAAACCAUAGACAUAUAUCGUAGAACAUGCCGGUUCUAUAGACAAAUAUUGGUUUAAUUUAAGCAUGAAAACUACGGGUUUCAUGUGGUAAGUUUUGAAUGAAAACUUUGAGUUUCAAAUGCACUAAAUUCAAAACUACAGGUUCGAUUUAGUUAUGAAGGUUUCGUUCAUAUAGGGGUACCUGCAAGAACACGAAAUACCAUAUACAAUAAAGAGUCGUGGAUUUGUGGUUGCUUCAGGAACCCAAGUGUAAGUGCUUCGGGAUUACGAAAGAUAGUCAACGGUUCAAAGAAAUGAAAUAAUUUAUUGAAUCGUUAAUUGCCAAAAAAGUGAGCUUCAUGCAAAUAAAUUUGGAUUAAUUGUCUGAUUAAUGGACUGCUGGUCAAUUUAAUUAAUUCAAUAGAUCAGACCAUACAUGGUCGAUCGUAGAAGCAAGAAUAAUAAUAACAUUCGGGUUAAAAUUAUAGAGAAUGCUAAAAAUAGCAUUGGAUUCGAAAAACCAUAGUCCAUUAUCGGUGGGCUUGGGUGCUGUGAGUAGGGCAAAGCGCUAAAAGGGCAUAGUGGGCCACAGAUGGUUGCGGAGCAGUCUAAGGGCCGAAAUCUGGGAUAGGCCCAGCAGCAAGGCUGCUGGCUUUUAGUCCAAAAAGAGCUCAGGUGCACAGGCCCAACACAAGGCUGGCAUGGGAUGUGGGUACACGUGAAGCGUAGCAUAAGUUGGCUUCAGUUUUGGGUCGAGGGAACAAGCUCAGUCUAUUGGGCUAGCUGUGUUGGUCGCAGGUCGGGGCUAAGGCAAAGCCUAGCAAGCACAAGGCUUGAUGGCAAAUUGGGCCAGUUUGCAAUGUUGCGGCCCAGCAAAGCUGCAAGUUUGCUGGUGGACUCAAGGCUUCAAGCUUGCUGGUGGACUCAAGGCUUCAGGCCCGUUCAUGAUCCAACCUAGGCUAAGGCCUGGUUGCAGUGUAGUGGUAGCAAGCCCAAAGGGCUACUGUGAGCGGUUUAUGGUGUCGAAAUGAUGGCAUCCUAAUGUGGUGGCAUAGCUGCAGGCCAGCUAACUCGGCUUGGUGCCAGUGGCGGCGCAGCCGCAAAAAAAUUCCAUUUUUUUUUUCGAAUUCUAGGGUUAAAAACCCUAAUUGCUGCUAAAUUAAUUUCGAUGCUUUGACUCAAAAUCCACAUAGCAUAAUUGCGUAUUGCAUUAACAAAUAUAUCUAUUGACAAGAUAUAUGAACAUAUAUACAAUAUAUAUAAUUGAAAUGAAAAUAUAAAUAUAAAGGGUUUAUGCAUCAUGGGGAAUGUUUCAUGCUUCAAGGUCAUUUCAAAUAUCUUAAUUUAUUUUAAAAGAACCUGAUUGGUAGAAAAUAAUUGAAAGCCUUUGAUGUUGUAGAAGAAAGCCUCAUCCACGAUCCUUCAGUUCCUUAGCUUCUGGCAAGAGCGUGCUGAUAACGUGUUGUAGGCCUAUUUGACUGAACUUAUUUAGGACAGAGGGGGAGAGGGGCUGGCGGCAACAGAGAGAGAAGAGAGAGAUGUAAUUUUGAGGUGUGUGUAGUAUCACCCUCAUUGUGCUAUUAUUUAUAGUAGUAGGAUAGGUUAAAUUCUUACCCUAAUAGGAUUAUAACUCUAAUAGAAAUUUAACUACUAAGGGGAAUAUACAAAGAUAUUCCUAGAUACACUAGGAUUUACACAAUCACAGUCAUAAUCCAAUAGGACUGCAACAAACAUAAGAUUUUUUUAUUAAUAAUUAAAUAAGAAUAUCACUAGAUUGUAAGAUUAAGUGACAACUUUUAGUUUAUUUUAUUGAUGAAUUAAACGAAUGAGGAAGUCCUCCUUAAUUGGCUAUGUGACUGAUUUUCGAAAUUCCAUGUUUAUUGGAACCGUUCAUAUUCUAAAGCACUUUGAAAAGAUGAGUUUUGCAAAAAAAUAAAAAAAAUUAAAAAAUUGAGAUCGUUUAGUCAUUAAAUUAUAUAAAAAGGGAUCCCAUAAAAGAUAUGUCUAUAUGUUUACUACAGUUCAUUGACUAAACAUACUUUUAAUUAUUUUUUUACAAUUUACAAUAAUUUUAUAAAAUAAAUGGUUUUAAUUAAAAACCACAAAAUUUCGUAAAUCCAUCAUAAAGUCAAGCUUCGCUCCCUAUACAGUACCGAAAUGACAUGAGAUGGCGACCAAAAAAUAUAGGGUUAAUCUCCGUUUACUACUUUGAAGUUUCUUGGUUUUCAACAUUUGGUAUAUAAAGUUUUUUUCAUCUCAGUUUGGUACCUAAAGUCAUAAUUCUCAGACACUUUCAUACAUCCGUUAAGUUUUUCGUCAAAAACUCCGUUAACUGAUGACGUAGCACCCACAUGGAUAGUGAUUUGGUGCCAUGUGUCAAUAUGGGCUCGCAUAAAAAUUUAAAAACAAUUAAAAAUUUGAAAAAAAUCCUUUUUUUUUACCCACCCGUCUCCUACCUCACUCCCCACCCAUUCCCUCCCAUCUCUCCUUUGCAACUCUCACGACCCUUCAUUCUUGUCUCUGCAACCCAUAACACCUCCAUUCUCUUCUUUACAACCAGCACCCACCCUCCCCGCACACCCGACCUAACAAAAUCCCACCUAAAAUAAUUCAAAUCUACUAGGAAACCCUUCCAAUUUAUGAAAUAUAUCAAAAACCCACUUGACCUAAAUCCCUAAUUUGGAUAAAUUCGCAAUUCCUAACCGAUUCUUGAGCAUUCCUAGCCCUCUCCGCCACUUCCCCUUAACCCUAAACCCCCUUAGUGGUACCAGAACCCAUUGUCGUGCAAUUAACUCUCACGUUACCAUUGCCUUCUUCCAUAACCUUAGAAACAACCAAACCUAGACCAGCCACACAAUGAAUUCGAUCAUGACCAAUUAUCCGACAAUGAAAACAAACCUGGGGUAGGCUCUCAUAUCCCAAACGAAUCCAUUUUCCACGGAUCUUCAAACUAGACUUCAAAGGCUUAUCCAAGCCGCCCCCCUGCGUUGAGUAAGUAGUAUUCGAUGGCCGUGAACAGAAGGUUCUAUGUCUUGUGACUUGAGUUGCAUGGAAAGAUAAAGAAGGACGGCCAUUGGUAUCUGGUGGUUCCCUUGCUUCAAUGCUUCGGUUCUUCUUUCUCCUUGGCAUGUUGUUGGGUUAGGUGUGCGGGAAGGGUGGGAGCGAUUGCAGAUGAGGGAAGGGAUGGUGGGUGUAGGUUGUAGAGGAGAGAAGGGAAAGUGGCUGUGGGUGUGGGUGGAAGGGAGGGUGGUGCAUGUUGCAGAGGAGAGGAAAAAAAAAGAUUUCUUUUUUAAUUUUUAGUUUUUUUUUAAUUUCCACGUGGGCCCAUGUUGACACAUGGCGCCCAAUCAUUGUCCAUGUGAGUGCCACGUCUUCAGUUAACAGAAGUUCUGACAGAAAACUUAAUGGAUGUAUGAAAGUGUCCCAGAAUUAUGACUUUAGGUACCAGACUGGGACGAAAAAACUUUAUGUACCAAAUGUUGAAAACCAAGAAAUUUCAGGGUAGUAAACUGAGAUUAACCCAAAAAUAUACAUGCAUGGGAGUUGUUGGAACCUCAUAUCAAAGUUUCCCAAUAUUUUUAAACAGACUGUUGAGCAAAUAAAAAAGAAUGCUACUCUGCUUCUUCUUUUAGGGCUCAACUCAACUUAACGAACCACAACAUACAUAAAUAUUAUAUAAAUUAGCCUCCAUGCACGCGCUCACGUGCGUGCAGAAGGCAUUUUUUGAAUUAUGACGUACUACGUACGAUUUACAUGUUUUAAAUAUAUUUAUUAAUGUAGAUGGAAAUGAUAAUAAAUACAUUUAAUUAAAGCGAUCCUUUAGCUAAUCAAAGCAGCUGAAUCCAUAUUAAUAAAAGCAGUCUUUCAAUUUCUAUCUACAUUUUAUUGAAUUUACAUUAAGAUUAGAAAAAACAAUAUUUAAUAAACAACUGAUUGCUAGCCCAUUGUAAGGCCAAGCCUACUCCCUCCCCUUAGUGUAGAUAACAUCGUUUGUUAAAAAAAUGAUCAUUUAACAACUAAUUGAAUCACAUUAUUAUGUGCGUGCGAGAGACUUUUUUUUUAUAACUGACACUACGUGUUACAUCCCACAUCGCUUAGGGGUGUGGAUCCUAUAAGCCUUAUAUGUAUAUUCUCAUCUCUACCUAGCACGAGACCUUUUGGGAGCUCACUGGUUUCGGGUUCCAUCGGAACUCCGAAGUUAAGCGAGUUUGCGCGAGAACAAUCCCAGGAUGGGUGACCCACUGGGAAGUUCUCGUGUGAGUUCCCAGAAACAAAACCGUGAGGGCGUGAUCGGAGCCCAAAGCGGACAAUAUCGUGUUACGGCAGAGGUGGAGCCCGGGAUGUGAUGGGGGCCUGGGCCGGGAUGUGACAAUUUGGUAUCAGAGCCAAUCCCUGGCCGGAAGUGUGCCGACGAGGACGUCGGGCCCCUAAGGGAGUGGAAUGUUACAUCCCAUAUCGCCUAGGGGUGUGGAUCUUGUAAGCCUUAUAUGUAUAUUCCCAUCUCUACCUAGCACGAGGUCUUUUGGGAGCUUGCUGGCUUCGGGUUUCAUCGGAACUCCAAAGUUAAGCGAGUUCACGCGAGAGCAAUCCCAGGAUGGGUGACCCACUGGAAAGUUCUCGUGUGAGUUCCCAUAAACAAAACCGUGAGGGUGUGGUCGAGGCCCAAAGCGGACAAUAUCGUGUUACGGCAGAGGCGAAGCCCAGGAUGUGGUAGGGGCCCGGGCCGGGAUGUAACACUACGCACCUUUUAAGUGUUUAAAAAUUGAGAAAUAAUAUUUAAUAAACAACCGCGUGCAAAAGGCAUUUUUUGAAUAACAGCGCGCUACACAUGACUUAUACAUUUUAAAUGUAUUUAUAUGCAUGAAUUGCUUCAAUAUUUUUUUAUUUCGUUAUUUUCUUUUUUUAUCAUCGGCGUUACGCACAUCUUAAGAUGUUUUGAACACAACAUUCAUGAUUUUUCUUAUUUUUAUUAUAUUUUUCUUCCCCUAUCACAUGGGCACCAUCAACUUUGUCAUUUUUUUAUUCUUUUCUCUCUUCCCAUUUAUAUUUAUAUUAUAUUUUAUGAUGACCAAAUUACCAACUUACCCUUGCAUAAUUUGAUAUAUUAUUUUGGGCAGGUUUUGAAUUUUUUUGGCUAAGGGGCAGACAUUUUAAAUCUUUCUUGACUCUUCAGGAGUCCCAAUUUAAUAUCAUCAACUCUUCAGGAGCUCUAAUUUAAAGUCAUUGACUCUUGCAAGAGAUUUUAGUAUGUUGCAACAAUAUCAUAAUGAUUGUAUUCACUAAGGCAAUUUAUACCAUCCAUUGAUAUUGAGUACAUAUUUUAUGUUUUACCCUUCGGGGGCUUACUUCAAGCAAUUUGAAUCAUUCAGAGAUUUUCUACACUUCAUGACACAUUUUCCUUUAGAAUUUAUACAGAGCAACUUGCUCCUAUGUAUAAUUGAGGGAUUUACUUAUGGAGAUAUGAUAUGGGCGACUCACAACCCUUCGUAUAUAAUUCUUUAUUCAUAUGAACCCGUUUGUAAGAGUAUAAUAUUAGGUUUCAGUACCUUGUGUCAAAUCAUGUGAGUGUAUUUCAUUGUAUUACAAAUGCCUAUAUGUAACCUCAUUGGUUCAACAUAUUUUGGCUAUUUGUAUUGUAUUCAAGUAUAUAGGUCUAUUUUUCCACGUUCUUACAAAAUUGUAAUGGAAUUGCCUUUCUCCAUUUUUUGGCCAAUAAUUUUGUUGACGGAAAAAGAACGGGACUCAAUAUCAACACAGCUCAUUUGAUGAAUUUAGUAGCUACUUGUAAAAACCAAAAUUACCAUUGGUUAUCAUCAAUCAGUGAUCCCAUAUUCUCAUGUGCAUGCAUAAAAGUUUUUCAUUUCUUCGGAUGUCCAUUGCCUCUUCAAGGGUAUUACACUGUCUCUUUCAGGACAAUCAUAGUUUAGAGAAUGCGGAUCAUAACCAAUUCUUGAGCGUUAUAGAGCUUGGAUUUUAAUCUCCACUUCCAGGAGUUGAGUCAUUUAGAACCUAUACGUCAAUCAUGCUUCAUCAUUCUCAUAUCUGCGGAUUGUCCUUUCUGGGACGUGUAUCCAUGCGGCGACUGUCAUGCUUCUGGCAUGCAACAGUUAUACUUCGGGAAUGUAAUAGUUCGGUAGUGCCAUAUUCUUCUUCUUUCGAAUAACUGAACCUUUUGAGUUUGAAGGUUUGCCACGCUUCAGGCGUGCAACAGAGAAAUCAUUUACUACCUCACUAUAUUGUCCAACAUGGACAUUAAUUCUUGUAGGUACAUUUGCAGCAAAUAUAUGUGAUUUCAUCACUUUCUUGCAUCAUUAAAUACAUCUGGCAUUUGAUUGAUAUAUCGUUGCAUCAUUCAAUUAUUCUUACUUCAUUUUUAUGUUGAUUGCUUCGUGAAUCAAAAUAAGACAAAUUCUCUUCGUUCUUCUGGAACGGUCUUUUCUCAUCAUUCUUCUGGAAUGAUAUUUUCUCAUCGUUCUUCUGGAACAAUGUUAUUUUCUCCCCCUAACGGUGGUAAAAUUGUCUUAUCAAAAUGACAAUCUACAAACCACGCGGUAAACAUAUCCCCAGUCAAGGGUUCCAAAUAUUGAAUGAUAAAUGGUGUUCAACAUCAAUGCCUAAUCCGCGAUGAUGCCUCAUUUCAGUACGUUGUGGUAGUCUUACAGGCACAUAGACAACACAACCAAAAAAUCGUAAAUGUAUAAUGUUUGGCUAGUGCCCAAACACGAGUUGUACCGAGAAAUAUUGAUGGUUGGCAACUGGUCUUAACCGAACUUAAUAAUGAAUUAUGUAAAAUGAUAUUUAUCCAUCUUGUAAUUUCCUUUUCAUGAGCAGAACGCGGGUAAUCAAUUUCAUCUGCUUAAUAAGUGCUUUUGCAAAACCAUUUUGAGUAUGGACAUAAGGAACUUAUGGUCCUUAUUAAAUAGUCUGUGGACUGAGACUCUUAUGGCCUUUAUUACAAUUAAGUUAAGGCACUGUGGCACUUCAAACUUACAGUACUCAUCACGGAACUUCAUGUCCUGAUCUUGAGGAUCAAGGAACUUCAUGCCCGAUCUUUUUGCAGGAUGGAACUUCAGGUCCAAUCAUUUUUAUAUGUUGAGGAUCAAGAAACUGUAGGUUCUGAUCUAAUCAAGGAACUUCGGGUCCUUGUUAUACCCAUCGUAACAAAAGAUAAGUACAAUAAAUAAAUUAAAGCAAUAGGCGAUAAUUCCAGCCAUAGUAAAUUAAUUGCAUUUAAGUAAAUAAAGCUUGUGACAAAGGCUUUAAUUCAGCACCAUUUACAUAAAUCAAAACUUAAAGCAAUAGGUGGUAAAACCGUCCAUGGUAAAUAAAUUGCUUUAAAGUAAAUAAAACUUGUGACAAGGGCUUUGAUUCAGCACCAUUCACAUAAAUAUCAAAACUUAAAGCAGUAGGAGGUAAAACCGUCCAUGAUAAAUAAAUUGCUUUAAAGUAAAUAGAACUUGUGACAUGGGCAUUAAACCAACACCAUGCACAUAAAUAUGCCAAAAUAGAAAAUGCAAUGAUUAAGUCCUCAUCUUUUGCUUUUUCUUUUUCUUGGUUUGUCACUUCUUUUGUUUGAUUCCUUUUAUUUUUAUUUUUAUUUCAUAGUUCUGAAGUCAUUUUGGUUACUCAGUAAAUAAUAGUAACAAUAAGUUCCAAUUGGUGCUCCUCCUCCGGUGAGUUUCGAAAAAGUCGAAACGGUUCCUAUAAGUUUUGGAGUCAAGAGUGUCUGCAACUUAUGAGAAGAUCAAACUGUUAGAUUUAGUUCAAAUUUUAGUAUGAUAUGGAUAAGAGGAUACCAAACAACUUUAGUGAAGAAACAACUUCAAUUUGAGCUACAGAAAUGGAGUUGUGGUACUCAUAAGGUAGUUGUGGUACAGAAAGUGGAAACUGGUUUAGACAUCUGCGACGAUCGCACCGUUAAAGUUUUCUGAAAUUUUGAUAUGUUGUAGAUACUGAGCGGAUGAACAACUUUCAAGAAGAAAGUAUUUCAAUCUGAGGUCCGUAAGUUGGAGUUCUAAGGCUGUUUACAUGGUUGUCAGAUUCUCUACGAAUUUUGAGUCUGUACUCUUUUGCUUCUGCAAAGGAUGAUAUACAAUCAUACAACAAUAUAUAUAGUUGCUUCAAGAAAAUCAAUUGUACAGAGAUUUGAAGAUGAAAUUAAAAGAUUUUCUUAUCUGUGAGAUUCCAGCUGAAGGAGGUGAACAUGAUUUGUGGCGUUGUGCUUUCCACUGGCAUGAGAGCUUCUCGUGCUGAUAAUGUGUUGUAAAAUCGACGGUGGGUGCAGUAGAAUAAAUAAAUAAGACACAAAAUUUACGAGGUUCCUAUACAGUCAGUGUGACUGAAGUACGUCAUCGGGGCAGCAGUGGUGCUUUCAUUAUAAUUUGGAAUAAUAGGAGUACAAAGAUAACUCUCUCUAUUAUCUCCUCUCCUCUUCAUUUCUUUUCUCUCUUCCUUUCUUCCUUCCUCUCUCUCCCGUGAGUAUUUCACUUUCAUCUUCUCUUCUUCCUUUUUAUCACCACCAUUUGAACACUUAUUGUGGAUGCAAAUUUCUUCCUCCUUGAUCUUGGACAAUUUUGCACCUACAAAACAAUUAACACCUUAGGUUAAGGCCAAGAGCCUCAUGCGCCCACGAUGAAUGGGGGGUGGGGGGGCUUUGGCCAAAAAACCUUCGAUGCCAAAGUUAGAAUUUAGAGAGAAAGAGUGUUUAGAGAAUUUUGGGAUUUUUGCCAAAGUGUUAGAAUGGCUUUUUGGUGAAAAUGGGAGCCUAUAUAUAGGGAUAGGCCGGUCCUCUAUGGAGAAAAGAGUGGCCAGCCAUAGGUUGGUUUUUUGGCAUGAAUUUUGGUUUAAUUAGCCAAUUUAUUAUGAUUAAUUGGCUAAUUAAACAUAAAGGGAAUGUUUUGGUGUUUAUGGGAUUUAUUAGCUAGCUAAUUAGUGUAAUUAAAAGGGAGAAAAUGAUAGAAAAAGGUAGAAAAUAUGAUGGAUUCUUUCUUGGAUGGGGUUGGUCGGCCAUUGAUAUGGUUUUGGGAUUAAAUGGUGACUUAAUUGAUAUUUAAUGGAUUAAUUGGGUAAUUAAUCCAUUAAUUAAUCAAUUAACAUAAUAAUUUGGAGGUUACUUUGCAAAAGGGAAUUUGAUGAGAUAGACUUUGAAUUGUUUACCUCUUUUGGAGCAUCUUUGACUUUGUUGAAAAAAUAUUGUCGACUGCUUGCGCGUAGAGAUCCCGGUGUACCUCAGGGGUAUUUUGGUCCUUUUUGCCCAACAAUCCACAUGUUUCCUUGUGAUUAUUUUUGGCUCCACAAAUGCCCCCACACCUAUUGGGCUGCUCGUAGAAAAGGGCAGUAGGUGUAGACAUCUUCUUGCUUUAGGAAACUUAGGACUGCUUCCUAUUUUAAUGUAGAUUCUCUAUUUAAUAGGAAAUUAGAUCCUUCUAGGAAAGGGAAAAUAAAUUUCUCUCAAAGCCUAUUUAAUUCCAUCUUAAGUGGGUUAUUAAAUCAACUUUGAAGAACAAUUUAUUCUACCCUCCAAGAGAGAGAGAGCAUAGAGGAUAUUUGGUCUCCCUCAUCUAGCAAUCUUCUACAUCUUGCCCGUGCAAAGGACUGUCUUUCGUUGCUUUCUUCGUCUUCUCCGUGCCGCACCGAUGUAAGAAAAAUUUAAUUUUUGUUGUCUUCUUCUUGGAUAGUGCUGUCACGAGGCAACUGUCGAGGUGGUGCGACAUGUCGGCUGGCAGGAGCCAGGAUUCAGCUCGGCAUGGGUCGAGGAGGUGUUGUGGCAGGGACCACGACUUUAGGCUGAUCGGUUUGGCUAGAGCCAAAGGCAGCUUAUGCAGCUGGGGUUACGGAUUGUGGCGUAGGGGCGCAGUGCUAGGCGAGCCACAUGGCUCAUGUCCUUUGGGCUCUUGGACCUUACUCGAGCCAGGCUGGCGACUGACAGAAAUGAGAAGGUCGUGGGCCUCAUGGGUUGCUGGAAUGUUGGGCAUGCAGGCUUCCUGCCUGCUAGAAUGCUGGGUUGAUCUUCUCUGCUCAGUACCGUGAAUGAUGUUGGCUGCUUAGUCUUCUUUGCUGGAAGUAAGGUGGACUGUUCCCAAAGAGGAGGUAAAGAGGAUCAAGGCAGAUGUAUUAGCUCGUUUGAUCAUUGUCGUAGAGCUUACUAUGAAUGAAGGGGGAAAGAAGAGAUCUUCCCCGCCUACUCAAGAGAUGCUGGUUAAGAGAAAACUGAAGACUUUUCCACUGCUCGUGAGGGUUUGCCUGCUGCCGAGAGGUCUGUGAUUGGUAUGACUUCUUUCGAUGGGAAGAAAAAUAAGGCUGCUAGAUCUGAGCAUGUGGCGCCUGCCAUCGAGAAUGGCUAGUAUGAUUGCUGAUAGGGUUGCUCAGCGUAGAGGUCAUGUCGUGCCCCUAGUGUCCAUUGUGAGCUAAGUCUGGUUCACCUUUGGAGAGGCUUGCUAUUAUGAAGAGUGAUAAGGUAAACUCUGCUGCUAAAGUGGCGCUAAGGCCCACUCCCUCAGCUGCAAAGUCUGACUCACCUGUUGGGAAAGAGGAGACUACUCGAGUGGGCAGCUGUGAGAAAUCCACUAAGCUUGCUUCUGGGGAGGCUGCUGAGACCCAUGUGUUUUUAAAACCAUAUCUGCUUGAAGACAUGGAUGCUUGUGCCAAAUUUGUUGAUGGUGUUAGAAAUGUUGUUUACCCAAGUUCCUUUGCGAAGCAUACGACCCAAUAUAAAAUGAUUGCUCUGUUUGCUAUGAUGCAGAUGUAACAAGGCUGCCAAGGAGAUGGCGAAGACUAUGACAGCUGAAGCUUAUUCCUCGGCUGAGGAGAUCAAGAGGUUGGAUUUUGAGCUCGUUGCUUUGAAGGGGUCUAAUAUUUCUACCCCCAUUUCUCUGUAGCUUGAGACCGCUCGCCAAGAGAUUGUUGACUUGAAGACUAGGCUUGAUGCGAUCCAAGUUAAGUAUGAAAGUGCAGAGAAUGAGAUUGGAUGUUACAUACCUCAGAUUCAAGAUCUUGAGUUUGCAAUUUCUGAGCUUCGUUUCGCUGCUUAUGCAAAGGAUGAAGAGUUGAUUGUUGCUUAUAAUCAAGUGAUCCACUUCAAGAGAAUCGUCGAUAAGUUUGAACCCCAAGUGUUGGAACUUCAAGGUGUACUAAAGAUCAACGAAAGUUUGAAGAAUGAGGUGAAUGAGCUGCAGUGCAUCCGUGUUGGUCUGCUUGAGAAGAAUGAGCAGCUGAAGGGUAAGAAGGAUGAGCUUGAGGUUUCGAGACCUUCUCUAUUUCUCCGGAAGACUUGCUUGUUUUUACUUUUGAGGCUUCCAUUGGUGAAGUAAUUAGAGAAGUUAGUGCCCAGGCAAGGGUAGCUGGGCAUGAAACGCCGGAUGAUGCCGCUGCUAAGAGCAUCGCGGUUGCUGAAGAUAUGGUGACCGAGUAGUCGUGGGAUGUCCAAGCUGCUGUAGUCUUCUAAGUAGCCUUUAGGAUUUUAUUUGUUUUUCCUGGUAGCUCUUAUUUUGCUUGAACUCCUUCCGCCUUUGCUAAUUAUUUAUAAACACGCUUCCUUCGCUUUUCUUCAUCUUCACUUCUUUUGUUCAUGCCCUAACCUUUAGACUUGAUAGACCAGUAGCAGACAUGUUACUUUUUUAUAAGCAGACAAGCUCGCGUAGCCUAUGCAGCUGUAGGUGUUGGUGUAGAACUUUGCAAAGUUGUUAGCCAUAGGGUUGGCAGCUGAAUGCCUUACUUACAGAAGCAGACAAGUCUACGUAACCACUAGGUUGUUAACCUUGACUUUCUCCAAUUUCGUCGGUUGUGUAGCAAGUAUCACAACACUUUAAGACUUGGUGUAGGUUGUUCCACGCUUGGCAGAGGUGAAGCUAAUCGACUACGUAGCAUGUCGGCAGUGGAUAAAUUUUCGUAUAUGCGCGCUAGCUUGUUUAACCUUUCACAAGAAUGUGCGGUUGUAUAAGUCGAGCGCGGCUUUACUGCUCGAAAGGCAAGCCGUAAGCAGUCUUCCAGAAACCGUAGGCUACCUUAGUGCACUCAGUAGCAGCUUUAGGGUUCCAGGGCAGCCCUUUGUAGAGCGUACUGAGUAAUGUGCCUCCUCCGUCUCUAGGGCCCGGUUCCCCACGGAUUAGGCCAAGAGACUAAAAAUCCUUCAAUUAGCUAAGCCUUGACAAAGACCAUUGUGACUACUUCUAGGAAUCCAGACGCAAGCCAUCGUGCAUCUAGUUAUACUAGGGUAGCUAAGCUCAUCCACGUUUGGAUAUUCGGAGUGUAAAGUUUAUCCUCCCGUCUUAAAGAGCUGAUCCAUAUAGGUGUUGGGGAAUUGGUUUACCCUCUCGCACUGGAGAGCAAUUAGUUUACCCUCUCGCACUAGAGAGCAUGGUUGGUCCCUCUAGGGGCGCAAUUCCUGCGAUGAGUCCCUGAGAAGGGCGCAAUCUUCUUUUAAAGUGCAGGAGUGAUAAGUUGUUGUAAACAUACAGUUGAACCAAGUUGUGAUUACUUCUGAAUUCCUCAUUGAAAAACGAGUAAAAUGAACGAGAACUUAGUUGUAAGGUAGGAACUGCAUAACAACUGGAUAUUCAUCGGCUUGUGAGGUGGUGCCCGUCGAGCUGCUUGAGUCUUCGAGCUUUGAUGUAGCGGGAGGUCACAUAUGGUCCUUCCUCAGAUUGUAGGCAUUCCACUGCUUUUCGAUCUUUUUGUCAUUUCAUGAUGGCGAGGGUGUAAUUACUCUUGCUGCGUACUCUGUUGAUCUUGUACGAACCUUCCCAUAUGGGAUCCAUCUUUUUGCAGUGAUGAAGGUUUUUCUUAGGACUAGAUCUCUGGGCUAGAACUGCCGGAUCUUAGCCAUUUUGUUGUAGCUGGAGAGGAGCUGCUGCUAGUAGGCUGCAAUACGGGUGCUAGUCUGCUCUCGCUUUUCCUCUGCCAGAUCUAAGCUUGUGACCAUCUCCUUACUGUUCUUCUUAAUGCUUGGUAGUAGAGUGGUGAUACUUGGCUUGAUGACAUUGGGAUGAAUGAUUGCUUCCGAACCAAAUGCUAAAGAGAAAUGAGUCUCGUCGAUUGCUCGUCUUUUGGUGGUGCGAUAUACCUAUAGACAUCCGGGGAGUUUGUCUGGCCAUUUUUCCUUCUUGUUGGUGAAGGAUUUCUUGAGGCAGUCGAGGAUCAUUUUGUUGGAUGCUUCGACCUGCCCAUUGCUUUGAGGAUAUCUCGGCAUGGACAUGUGCUGCUUGAUGCCAUAUUCUUGGAAGAACUUAUCCAAUGCCUCAAGUUGCUUGCGUACUUUCUCUAGGUAUUGCGCCAUCAUCUGAUGUUUUGCCGUGUACUCCCCAGUAGUCUGGCUGGUGAUUAGCUGGGAAUCAAAAUGAAUUACGAGCUUCUUCACUACCAAGUAUUUUGCCAUUCAGAGGCCUGCUAGUAGGGCCUCGUACUAUACUUCGUUGUUAGAUGCUUUGAAGCUUAGAGUGAUCCCCUGCUCGAGCAUUGAACCGUCUAGGGUGACAAGAACCACGGCUGUUCGCGAGCCUUUGUAGUUGGAUGCGCCAUCAACAUGCAAAUGCCAGAAAUCUCCAUUGAGGGAGUAGGUGCGAGUAAAGUGUGCUCGGUUGCCUUCGGGGCGUCGUUGGGUUGCUCUAUUACGUUGUCAAGGCUAGGCGUAAAGGCGUGGCAAUGAGCCGUGGAGCUAUGGUCAUGUUACAUAUAGCAGGAGAUGCUUAACUUUCGAUAUUAGGCCACUCUAGAGCUGAAUAAUGGAGCAAGGGUUAGCUAGAGCCGUGUGACGUGCGGUAGGAGGUAGUGCUCAACUGCCGGUACAUGUUGCUCUUAUGUAAAAUCUUCUAGGAUGACGAGGAUAAAACUUGCUUCUGAGUGUUCCUUCCAGUGUUCGUCUGCCCUUGGUGUGUUUUUUGGGUUGAGUUGUUGCGUUUGUCAGAAAACUUUGCAUCCACUAAGGUCUACUCAUUUAUCGUCGUGCGUCUGGAUUCGACGGAAUAGUGCAUCAUGAUGAUGACUGCGUGCGUUUGAAGGUAAAACUUGAGCUUUUAGGUUACAACAACUAUCGCCAAAGUUAGCUUUUGAAUUCUUAAUAACAUCAAUAAAAGCUUUUAAACUAAGGAAUACAACUGAUAGCAUCGAUGAGAGCUUUUAAACUGUGGAAUAUAGGUAGUCGGCCCCCCAGCUCUUCUCGUAUGAUGGUAGAGCUUAUUUCUGCUUCAGAUGCGACUACUCGUCCAGUCAGACUUUGAAUCUCCUUUAGAGUAGUGAGGAACUUCAUAUUCAAGAUCGCUUAGAUUUACUUUAAAUGGGCAUCGGCGAACUUCGUCCCAAAGUGCAUGCUUUUCUGCUAGAGCGAAAGAGUCUACCAGAGUUAGAUCUUCUUUCAUUAUCGGUUUUCUGAACAUUGGGUGGUCUGCUGGAAGUUCUUUUUGGAAGGCUACUUUAGCUAUUGAGUUGUUGCAUCUGACUAUUUUUACCUUCUUUGGUUUGAACCUCCUCACAUUGUCACGAAGCGACUCCUUUGGGUUCUUCUUGACGUCGAACAAAUUGUCGGACUUCUUUUUGAUCGAGCGAUAGGAUGAAUAUUCUUGGUGAAAACCAAAGAAAGUUCGUCAAAAUUCCAUAUAGAUUAUGACGGCAGGGUGUAGAACCAAUCUUUCGCCUCGCCUUGUAGAGUGGUGGCGAAUAUCUUGCACAUGAGAUCAUCGUUGUUUCGAUAGAGGAUCAUUGCGAUUCGGUAGUUCUUUAAGUGUCUCUCCGGGUCUUCAUCCCAUUUGAAAGAUGUGAAAUGUGGCAUACUGAACUCACGUGAAGGUUCUACCUGCUCGAUCUUAUCCGUGAAGGGUGACCUGCUUAUGUUGGUCAUGUUCCGUCGUAGUGCCUCGUCAGUGACCUCAUUGCGUUGGAAAUUACGCAAUCGCUUGGUCAAGAGUCUCUCUACUUCUUCCUGAAUUUGCCUUUGUUGGGGUAGCAGAGCUCUCGGCUGCCUCCAGCCGUGACUUAUUGGUCUAGGCUGCUCUUCCAUGUGUUUGGCUCAUCUAUGCUACUGAUAUGGUGCGUGUGGUGUGUUCCUAGCAGGAGAGCGAGUUUUUCGCAAGCUGCCUGUUGAACUUGAGCCAGAUUGAGUAACUACUUCUCUUCGUCCGUCGUGCUGCCUACUCCGAUGUGAGGUGGAGGAUGCUCAUUGCGGGCUUAGCUACGAAUGAACACUUCGCCUGGAAGGUUGCUCAUGUUGACUAUCGGAGUGUGACCCUAACCGUGAAUGUAUGCUUGCUUGUGGGCCUAAUCGAGAGUGCACGCUUCUCCGCGCUCUGAGACGGGAGUAUACGCUAUCUUGAGGGCCCAAUCGGGAGUGUACACUACUUGAAUGCUUGGUUUGUGGCUGGUCGAGUGAUUGCUUGCCGAGACGUUGCUGAAGAGGUUCUUUGUUUGCCCUUAUCCUACUUCGGGAUACCUCGUCUGGGGUACGUUGGAUCUUAGUGCGCUGCAAGAGCUGGUUCACCAAGCACGUUGCAUCUCAGUGCGCUGCAAGAGCUGGUUCACCAAGGUUGUUCGCCACUUGGAAUGGAAAAGCUUGGAAGGAAUGUGCCUCCUUGGGCAAUAGAAGGGUGGUAGACUCCGGGCGCGAGAUUUGAGUUGGAAAUGUCAAAUUCACGAAUAAAUGUGGUGAGAAUGCCCCCGGCUUGAUGGUAAGUCCGAAUGGUUGAGAUAGUCUUGGGCCGACUUGGGCUGUUUGGAAAGCCAUAGGAGCAGACUAGGCCGCAGGAGCAGGCUGGGCCACAAGAGCAGGCUGGGCUGAGAGAGUAGGCUGCUCGGCGGGAGCAGGCUGGGCCAUAGGAAUGGGCUGCUCGGUUGGAGCACGAGAGCAGGCUGCUCGGAGUGUGAUGCACAUGGGUGCGAGGCUUGAGCUUGGCUUGACAACCCGUUGAAUUCAUGUUGGGCUUGGAGUGACAUGGCUUGGGUCGUGGCCUUGGUGCCGUGAGCCUUGGAUGGCACGGUUCGGGCCGUGGUGAAGGCACCAUGAACCUCGCCACCGCGGGUUCCCGUGGUAGAAACUCGUGGUGGUGGUGCCGCUCCACUUAUUGUCGCAUUUAGCCUUACGAAUCUCCGCAAUCCCAUUUCUUGAAUAUUAGAAUUUUCACUUGUGUAAUUUUCUAAAUUUCUAGCCAUUAUAUUUUUUCUUAUACGUUUUUUCAAAGAACCUUUGCAAGUAAAAAAUUCUAAUAAUAAGAACGUAUGAAAAAUAUUCAAAUGGACUAGAAAAUAAAGAAAAAACCUUUUUGUGCGAGAGUCUUCUAUGAGUAUGGAUUUCAACUCUCAUUGAAAGCACCCAUUUGUGGAUGCAAAUUUCUUCCUCCUUGAUCUUGGACAAUUUUGCACCUACAAAACAAUUAACACCUUAGGUUAAGGCCAAGAGCCUCACGCGCCCAUGAUGAAUGGAGGGGGGGCUUUGGCCGAAGAACCUCUGAUGCCAAAGUUAGAAUUUAGAAAGAAAGAUGUUUAGAGAAUUUUGGAAUUUUUGCCAAAGUGUUGGAAUUAGGCCUGGGCAUGGGCCGGGCCGGGCUGAACCUAAGUUUGAAGGAACCGGAGCUUAAACAAAACGGGCCGGGGCGAGUAUUGGAUUUUCUAAUACAGGAACCAGACAUUACUCGGCCCGGUUGAAACGGGCCGAUUCGGGCAAGGUACAUGGGUCCUUUUUUUUUUUUUUUUGAAAAAAAAAAUAAUCAAAUUUGUACAUAAUACAGAUUACAAACUGCACUGUACAAAUUGCAAACUGCACUGCACUGAUUGCAAACUGCACUGCACUGAUUGCAAACUGCACUGCACUGAUUGGAAACUGCACAGAUUUGCGCAGAUUGCAACUGCAUAGAAUCACAUAUCACAUACUGUAUUUAUGCAGAUUUUGCACAAAUUCACCAUUAUUCACAUCCAAUUUAAAUACAAAGACCAACAUCCAAGUUCAUAAAUUAACAAUACAUCCAAAAUAACAAUAUUACAUCGUCCAACAUCUAAAUGAAAUCAACAUACAAAAUAUCCAAAAGUCCAAGACACCAAAUUCCAAAAAUCAAGUAAUUCAAAACAAGAAAAACCGUCCAUACUUCAAAGCACUCUCGGACCUGCAAGAAGAUAAAAUUAGAGAAUUCAAACCAAUACUAUAACUAGCUACAAAUUAAGCAGCUAUAUUCCUCAUGGUUGAAACAAUUACAUAUGCUUUAACCAGAUGAAUUCCUCAUAACAAUCAUCAAUACUACUAUCAUAUUACCCCAAAUCCAAUAAGUUUUAUUCCCUAAAUCUUCCAUAACUUGUUCUUUGUUGCCUCACAUGGUGUCCAAGCUUUAAAGUUCCUUUUGGCUAUAAACAAGUGGUAUACAGAAGUAGGACUCUGGCAGGAUUCAAUAAAAAUGGGCAAUAUAUACCUGAAAACACGGUACAAUGGACGGUACCACAAGACAUAGGAUCCAGGAGCCCCUGAUAUGAAGUAGAUAACAACAAGGAACCAAAUUUUUACCGCUACACCAAAGAUCAGGAAACGAUCAAUUUCACCCAACAUGAGAUAGAUCCAAAAUGAGAACUUGUUUACAUGCAGGAUAGUUGCCAAGUAUGUUUUCACACGCACCUUCCCCCCUUAAUCCAUGCCGUAGUAACAACUAUUACAUUCCAGAAAAGGCAAAGAACAAGUCUUGCAUAACACCACCGAUCAUCACAAAAUUUAGGCAGCCUUCAAUGAACUUUAGAAGUUUAGGACAUAUAAACAAUAACAUAAGCUAUAAAACAUCACAUUACACAGAUAGACUCACGCAACCUAUCUCACACCCAAAGGGCAAGAUGAAGUAAUGCUAAAAACAGAUGAAGUAAUGCUAAGAUUCAAUUGAUUUUAAAACAAAAUUUGAUAAAGCAUAGAAGAAAAUGGGGGUUUGGUUUUUAGUUUUUACCUGUGAGAUAGAGACUGAGUACCAGAUUCAUAUCCUUAAAAAAUGCUGGCACUAAUCACAUAAAAUUGACCUAAAAACACAACAGGUGAUUCAAAAUCAGAGAACUCGAAAUGCAGAAAAACAACUAAAUCAAACUCGACCCACAUAAUAUUUAGGAAUUUAACACCUGAAAUAAAGCAGAGAGCUCGAAAUGCAGAUCAGUUAUAUACACAAAUGUUGGUUUUUACCUGUGAGACUGAGAGAGAAAGGUGACAAAUCGAGAAGAUGGGUGGUGGGGUGACUGGGUUCUGUAAGUCUGGGAUGCCGUCGAAGUUGUUGGGCUGUCGUGGUGGUCGCCAUGACCGUCGUGAUGUCGGGGUGGUAGAAGGGAGGGGAUGAUUCACAGACGGUGAGAGAGACUCGAGUGAGAGAUUAGAGUGACAGAGUCGAAUUCGAUAGGACGAGGAAACCUAAAAUGAACGGUUAAGAUUGGAUAAAGAAAUGAUCUUCAAUCUUGUCUGUCCAUUCUAAUUACAAAUGGGCCGGUCCGGGUACCCGUUUUUCUAUAUUUUUGGAACCGGCCCGAACUGAAAAUGUCUACGGCCCGCCCCGCCCUGCCCCGUUUCUGUUUUACAAAAUUAGGACCUGGCCCGUACCCGGCCCGAAUCUCUAUUACCCGUCCCGACCCGCAGUUUCCUGUACCCGUUUGCCCACCCCUAGUUGGAAUGGCUUUUUGGUGAAAAUGAGAGCCUAUAUAUAGGGAUAGGCCGGUCCUCUUUGGAGAAAAGAGUGGCCGGCCAUAGGUUGGUUUUUUGGCAUGAAUUUUGGUUUAAUUAGCCAAUUUAUUAUGAUUAAUUGGCUAAUUAAACAUAAGGGGAAUGUUUUGGUGUUUAUGGGAUUUAUUAGCUAGCUAAUUAGUGUAAUUAAAAAGGAGAAAAUGAUAGAAAAAUGUAGAAAAUAUGAUGGAUUCUUUCUUGGAUGGGGUUGGCCGGCCAUUGAUAUGGUUUUGGGAUUAAAUGGUGACUUAAUUGAUAUUUAAUGGAUUAAUUGGGUAAUUAAUUCAUUAAUUAACCAAUUAACAUAAUAAUUUGGAGGUUACCUUGCAAAAUGGAAUUUGAUGAGAUAGACUUUGAAUUGUUUACCUCUUUUGGAGCAUCUUUGACUUUGUUGAAAAAGGAUUGUUAACUGCUUGCGCGUAGAGAUCCCGGUGUACCUCAGGGGUAUUUUGGUCCUUUUUGUCUAACAAUCUACGUGUCGCCUUGUGAUUAUUUUUGGCUCUGCACUUGUAAUGCUCUAUUUAUAGAGCAAACAUUUUGAAAAGCAAACAAAACACUAUUAAACUUGUGAAAGAUUUACUAUAUACAUUUGGGCAUACAUACCCAGUAUUUACAACAAAGAUACAUAUAUUUGUAGAACGGAACGAGUCAAUGUUUUCCAGUCGGUCACGUUACGUACGAUGUGUAUAAUAAUAAAAAAGAGGAAUUGCUUGGCAAUGGCAAGCGUUUGUGCUCGUGACCUUCCUGUAAAGUCAAAAUUAAAGUCUACUUUUACAAAUUAAUAAAAUUAUUGAAUCUUUGACCAUACCAUACCGCGGAACAGGAUCCGAUCCUCUUCAGAUCCUAUUCGUGCGGAGCCUCAGGAUAAAUAGAUCAUGGUCGUUCACCAUAGAUCGAACAGCUACGAUUCCACCAACCUCCUGUUCACUGCCUUCUCUCUUUCUCCUUUCAAUGCUUGGCUUCUCUUGUUCCCAAAUGGAACGAGUUCACGACAAAGGCAUGUUAUCAACUCGUCGUAAACUCAAUUGGCUCAUGGAACAAGUUUGCGACAGAAGACGAUGUGCUUCAGUGCAUGAUGAGCGAGCAGAUUGGAGACAACAUUUGGUUGGGCAAAGCCGUGGAGAAGAGAAAGGAGGUGGAUGAGACAUUGCGUCCAUGGAUUUGGAGGUCCUUCAGCUGCGACGGCACGCUUAGAUGGUGUGUUUUUUUUCACCAUUCAAUCUGUGUUGAACGACCAGGAUCAAUGGAUCCCGAGGGUCCGCACAAACAGGAUCUGGAGAGGAUCUUCUUCCCCAUACGAGCCAUUAAGUUUUGUUAAUAGCUCUCAUGAAAAGUAAGUUUUGUUAAUAGCUGUCAUGAAAAAUAAACAACGGAGACGGAGUAAUGACAGAAGACGUUUUUGUUGUUAGACUUGUUUUCAACCAAUCUCAAGAUUGUUGCAAAUAUAUACGGGGCUGCUUGCUGCUUGGCUGAGCCUCAGAGCCUCAGGCGUAUUGUCAGUACUAGGGAUGCUAAAUUCAAGUAGAUAUGUCUCUCAGUUGAGUAGAGUAGGGUAGAGACGAAAACGAAGAAUUAGAACUUAACCUAUUUCUCUGCUUCCAAAUUUGCAAACAGACUGUAAAAGUCCCUUUCAAGUUAUGACUAAUAAAAGGGGACAAAUUCUUAAUCUAGGCAAUACGAUCGUCAUGAGAAAAAAAGAAAGAAACACAGAGGAUGUCUUACCAACUUGUAUCCAAACAUUUUGUGCAAAAUGCAAUGAACAAAAAAGUGAAUGAUAUCUUUGAUGCGCUUCAUAGUUUCUGCCCCUAAUGAUCCUUGCUUAACGCCAUGAACAGACACAAAACUUUCCCGUGUUGUUAAAAAUGGAAAAGGCUAGUGACACCGACACCGUUUUAAACACUAAAGGCUUGUUUUCAUAAUCUCAUUAUUAAUUGAACUUAGACAUGGCUACUUAGUCAAAAAGGCUUAGGUUUCAUAUCUAGUUGCCAUCCAAGAAGGCAAGAACACCGUCCGCUCUUCAGUCUUCAUAAGCAAUUUGACUCCCAAAGGCUGCAUUAGGAACCAUGGCAAUGACCACACACAAAACCAUAACCAAAUUUAAUUAAAGGCCUAAAAUGAAUUUAGUUUAGAAGUUGAAAAAUGCAAUUCAAAGGAAUAUACGAAUAGAAACCAAACACAAACUUUAAAUGAUGCAAUCUUCAAAUGUAAGACAUUCUGGGAGUAGCGACAGCAGAUUAAAACUCUGCACAAAUAAAACUUACAGCCUUCAAGUUCGUUAAGGCCCUAGAGAAGUGAAAACAUUUUAUUCAAACAUCAAGCAGAAAAGGGCACAGAAAUAUAAGAAACUCCACAACUUUUUCCUCCUGCUGACUCCUGUUGACCACGAGCACCCAUCUGCAAGAUCAGCUAACUAUCAAAUAAGAACAUAAAAGGACCAUACAUAUUUUUGGAAGAGUUCUUCUAUUUAAACACCACUUCUGAUCUAAGUUCACCCCAAUUUCUAUUUACACCCCAUUAAACACCAAAUCACACCCACCAACACAUCAACAGACACCCCCACCAAGCCUUCAUUAAAUAGAACCUAAGAAGACACUUUCUUGUGUUCAGUUUUAGUUGUGCAUGUUGAUAUCAAUAUGACGCCCUGAGUUUAUUAUGGAGUUGUCAAUACUGUUUCAAACAAAGAAUCCAAGCAGGGAACAAAAGAUUCAGUUACUCAGGUUGCCUUCUAUAAGGCCAUUGCAAGUCUGAGCAUUGAAUUAACAGAACCCUAAAAACACCCAAAAGCCCUGUUAGAUAUAUACCUAAUUUUAUAUUAUGAUCCCCAAUCAACAAGAGUAUACGUAUAGCAUCAUCAUCAUAUUGUGCCAAUUGACCAAUUGAUCGCUGGAGUUGGAGCCGAUGGCAGCACUGCCGCCGCCAUUGGGACUUUGUGGGCUAGUUUGUGGUGCCAUUCGGGUGGAUGUGCAUUGGACGAGUGUUUUUCUUUGUUCUCAAUAUGUCCUAUAGUCUGUUUUGCACAAUUAAAAGGUUUUUAACACUUUUUGAGUUAAACUGUAGUGAACUCAGAAAAAAAUGGUGUUUAAUAGAAAAACUCUUUUUGGAAUGCAGGAGAGAAAACAAAUACAUUCUGUCUCAACUUUAGCUUGCGAGCACUAGCCUUAUCAGGUUUCAAUUAAAAUACCUGGACGCCAUUCUAGUUUUACAUACAAAGUGCUAGUCCAGACUUACAAGGAGCAAAUUUCAGUCAAAGAAUAUGAACUUUUCAUGUUAAGAAGUAAUGAAUUGCCACUAAAAGGAAGCUAAACAAAUUUCCGCUAAAACUAACAAGUUGCAAGAUUCACAACCACAAAAACUAACAAACCAAUGCAGAAGUAUCCUAAUCAAAUUGCCACUAAAAGGAAGCUAAACAAAUUUCCCGAGAGAUGACAACAAUCUCUGCACCUGCCAGUCGUUAAGUAGUUUGUUUAAUCUCAAGUAUGCAGAUGCAUACACUACAUAAUCAUAGGUGUAUGCAUACCAUCUUUCCUACAAGUUACAAGUAGUUGUUUCCCAUUUCAAAGUUCAAUUGAAAGUCCCACAUGCAUAUAAGACCACUUAAAAGACCAAAACUACAAAACAAACAGAAAAAAUUGGCAUCGAUGACUUGAAAAGUAAUGUAGGGCAAUAAUGAAAACCCAAAUGGACAAUGAUCCCGUAAAUACGUUGUAUUCAAAUCUAAGUACCAAUUUGAUGAACACUGCAAUAUAAAUAUGUAAGAUUUAAUUUUUGAUUUGGAAUUAAAACUUAGAAAUUAGAAACGACUGCUAUAUGGAAUCAUUGAUUCCAUUUUCAGCUGGAAUCCCUAACAAACAAAAAGAAACCCUAAUUGAUAACUGAGAAAAGAAAAAGGUUGGAUCUUGGAGACUGACCUCACCUGACCCGCUGAAUUCUCUUUCUUCAGUGAGUAGCGGAGGUUGAAGAGACGGAAUGAGAGUGGGCGUGAUGAGAGGAGGAGGGGGAUGGAGCGACGAGGCGGUCGUAGACCUGCUCGCCGACGAGGUAGACGCCGAAUGCAACAAGAGCGAUGCCAAGGCCGGGCGUGGCGUGGCGGAGCUGAUUAGAGAGCAUCGGAUGCUUCCUCCACUCGUCCCUCCUCCUGAAGAACUCCCCUGUCGUCCCCAGCGCCUUCUUACUCCCACCCAUUUCCGU